rnacentral:lncRNA from 1 species
UUCUUUCCUGGCACCACCAUUGUUGCGCCACCUCUAAAUUGGUAAAUUAAGUCGGGGAUUUUUAUGGAUUUCUGGCCUGUAAAAUUAUAACAAGGUGUGACACCGAUCUCGGCUUCUGCCUCAAGAGAUCUCCUAUACUUGGACAUCCGCUUUUUCAACUCAUUUGUCACUUUCUUAAAAACCGGUCCUGUCAUGUAUCCGUACGCGAAACCAGAAUCUAUCAUGAGACCACCUCGGCCGUCAGAUCCUGGAGCCAGAUACUUGCUUGGAAUCCUGAGGAGCUUGUUCCCGAUCUUGAUAUCUUUGACACCCAAGUAAUAGUAAAUCGGGAAGUCAGGAGGGUUCUUGAGAAAGGGAGCGUAGGAAAGUCCUUUGGUUUCGCCGUCACUGUAGUCCAAAAUCAACUUGCUGCUGUUCCGGGUGUCAUCAUAGUCGUGAGAAUUGAGACAGUAAGCAAACUUCUUCACACCCAUCUGCAUCGGUAAUGAGAACAUUGAGCGACCGAACCCCGCAAGUGCGGCAGAAGUAACUUCACCAACAGCGGAUGUUGUACACCCAACAAGAAAUUCGUGAAUUGUCUUCCCGGGAAAGUUUAGGUUUUCUAAAAGAAAAUCUCCAGAUGAUGCUCCUGUGCCAUACUGAAGACUGUAGGGUGGGCAAGCGUGCGAGCAAUUUUUGGAAUUGCCAUUGCAGGGGGGGCACCCAAGGUGAACAUCUGGGGAAGAAGUGUUUACACAUUUGGGAUUUCUGCACCCCAAGAUCUUAGAAGAUGACGAAAGUUUGGGAUUGAAGAUUGGGACCUUUUUGGGUUCGGCAUCUGAAAAAGAACAGUUAGUGCAUGUAUAGUGAGUUGUACACGGGGCCCAUACUACAUGACUUCCUGUGUCCACCAGGAAGGAGAGUUUUUGUGGAGGAGUGCCGAAGCUGAGAGGGAUGCUAUGACCUCCAUAACUAUGAGGAGAAAGAGAGAUUUGUGUGAGAGGGCUGGUCUUACCAUGUUUCAAAUGAUGGGCUCUGGACAAGGAUGCAGUGGCAAGGUGUUGGAGAAACCGCAAGGGUUUGGUAGAUGGGCUGUUUGUAAAUGUUGAUGUUAGAGGGAUGGUAAUGGUGGCAGGCGUGUUAUCUUUGGAGGAAGAUGCCAAGAGAAGGAGAGAGAAGAGAGUAAAGACAGAGAAAAGCAAAGAAGUAGAAGAAGUCAUGGCUUCAGAAGUGCACACUAGUGAAAGUGGUAGAGAAAAUCGUUUAUAUAGACAAUGACAUGCGUGGUUUAUAUGCAAUAAUUUUAAAAUCCAUUGUCAAUUUUUUAUGGGAAAUUCCAAGCGCAGGGAAACAAAUGGGGAUUUGUCUUAUAAAAACUUUAUUAAAAAGAUUGUUUGUAAAAUAGAUACAAAAUAUAUAAAUUUUUUUUUCUUGUGACUUUGAACGUUAUCUUGUCCUACUCAUCUUACUUUCAUACUAAACCCUGGAAUUCACUUUCAAUACUGAAUUCCAUAUUUUUAAAGGAAUAAAUUGUUUUUUACAUUGAAAGUUUUAAAAUUGAAUUUAUUUUUUCAAGAAGAUGAGUUUAAUGUUAUUUUUGAGAUUAUUUUUUUAUAGGACCUUUUUUUUUCGAAAGAAAGUAUUAUAAUUAUGCAAAAAGCCAAACGAAUGGAUAAUAAAACAAUGGAGCAACACCACUUAGUAUUGGAAGAGUGCAUCAGUUGUAAUGUUCUCCAUACCAUACUAAAAAAAAUAAGAACAUAUUAUUUCUAAAUUUGUUGGUCAAGAAAGCAGCAGAAGCUAACAGGCCCCACUGGGCCAAGUUUACCCCUUAAAUUUAUUGAGUGGAUUAAGGAGGGCGGAUUAGUCUUCAAUUCUCAUUUUGGUUUCUCCCUUCAAUCCUUCCUUCUUUUGUUUUUAAUUGUUAUGAACUUGUCCUAGUUCGAUCCAUCCGAACUCCACCUUCCCCUUGUGAUAUCAAAUAUCCUUUGACCGGAAAGAGUCUAGGGUCAAUAUGAAAUGGAUUUGAUUGACCAAAGACUUUAUUGCCUCGUCCUUGCGGAGACAAACACACUUGAGAAACAAAAACAUAUAGGACGGGGAUCCGGCUAGUAGGAAUUGAAAUCAUCGAUGAGAUAUUUGUCUUCUUCCUUUUGUUAUGUUUCUCUCUUCAAUCUUUUUAAAUACCAUGUAUUGUGUGUGUGUGGGACUGCAGCUGCAAAUAAUGUAGUUUACUGCUCGUUUUGUAUCUAUCUAUGUUUUCUUUGUGAGGAGACUCUAGCCUGCUGCGUAAACUCCCCUCUAACCUUACAAAAAUAAAAUAAAAUAUGAUGUGUUUUAAUAAAAAAGAAAGUUAAUUGGAUUAUGUUAGUACCUCAGCACAUUGACAUCAAGUCUCAUAUGGUAAUAACUUACACUCAUGAGAUAUGCGUAGCUCGUCUUGUAAAAAAAUCAAGUAUGAGACUUCUGGCGGUUGAUAUUUUUUUUCAAAGAUGAUGCAUUGAGAAAAGGUUCUUAGCGGUGGGAAAAUUAGGGGAAUGUUUUUUAAAAAUAGUUAUGAAAAACAUUUUUUUAAAAUAUUUUUUUAAAAUUGUUCUUUAAUAUUUUAUAGACUAAAGUAGUGUUUGUUUUUUUGACUUUUUGCUGAAAGUAAUUUAGGUGGUGUUUGUUUUUUUACUUGAUUAUAAAUAGAACCUUAAUACUUAAUAGUAUUAAAUAUUAGGUUGUUUGUUUUUGUAAUAUUUUAUUUCUAUUAGGUAUUAAAAAGUAAAAAAAAACUAUUGGUGUUAUUUUCUCUCAUUACAAAAAAGCCCNNNNNNNNNNNNNNNNNNNNNNNNNNNNNNNNNNNNNNNNNNNNNNNNNNNNNNNNNNNNNNNNNNNNNNNNNNNNNNNNNNNNNNNNNNNNNNNNNNNNCAUAUUUUGGUUUUUUGUAUGUAGUAAAAAGUUUAUAAUAAGGCAUGAAAAAGUAAAAUAAGCAAUUUACCUAAAUUCUAAAACUAAAUGGUUUUAAGCAAAAAGCCAAAAAAACAAACACCACUUUAGUUUUAAAAUUUAGGUUGUUUGUUUUUUUAUUUUUUCAUGAUUUAUUAUAAACUUUUUACUAAAUAGAAAAAGCCAAAAUAUGUAGUUUUUUCUAAAUAGAAAAAAUAACAUAUUAGUUUUUUUUACUUUUUAAUACUUAAUAGAAAUAAAAUACUACAAAAACAAACAACCUAAUAUUUAACACUAUUAAACAUUAAAGUUCUAUUUAGAAUUAGGUAAAAAAACAAACACCACCAAAAUUUGUAGCUUUUUCUAAAUAAAAAAAAUAACAUAUUGGUUUUUCUUUACUUUUUAAUACUUAAUAAAAAUAAAAUACUACAAAAACAAACAACUUAAUAUUUAACACUAUUAAGCAUUAAGGUUCUAUUUAUAAUUAAGUAAAAAAACAAACACCACAUAAUGUCAACUUAAAAACUUGAAAUUUUUUUAAUAUGUUUUUAAAAAUAAUUUUUAUAUCUAGUAUUUUAUUUUUAAUCAUUCUUUAUGUUAAUAUAAUUAUUCUUUAAAAAAACCUUAAAAAACAAGUGAUAAUAACUAAAAAAUGUUAUUUAGAAAUAUUAUAUUUUUUAUUUUUAAGAAUAGAAAACAGAAAAUGAUUAUCUGAUUGUGUGGACUCAUAUUUUUCUUGUGCAUUUUCACUUGAUGACAAGACUUGUUUUUAUUGUAAAAAAAAUAUUUUUUUGAAAAUCAGAUUCGAUACCUAUUUUGUUUAUUUUUAAAAGAGAAUAAAAUAAGAAAAAAAAUCAUAUUAUAACUCAUUUUUAAAGGAAAAGACAUAUUUGCGAAAAAACCAAAUCCAAAUCUAGGAGUCGGGUUCCUUAGUGAGAAAAUAUCAUGAGGUGAUAUCCCUUUAAAGCCUAAAAAUCUCUCUACUAAGCAAGUUAGGAGAAUUGUGAUAAUUAAUUAAUCAUAAAUACAAAAAAAAAAUGUCACAAAUAUAUACAUGUCAAUGACAAAAACAUAUUAUAAGAAUACACAAUUAAUAACAAAGGAAAUGCAUAAAGUGAUUUAUUAAAUUGAUUAAAAAGUUAUUUGAUUAUUUUAAAUAUUAUAACAUUUUUUAAAAAUUUCAAAAAGAAUUUAUUUAUAUUAAAAACAAUUUCAAAUUAAUAAUUUCAAUUUAUUUAUUUACAAACAAAGUUUUAACUUAUUUAUAACAAAUUAUUUGAUUCAAUUUUAUUUUUGUAUUCAAGUUUUAUUUUCAAGAAAGUUAAUUAUUCAGAAUUCAAAUGUAAUCAUUUCACUACAAGAUCCUCUUCAUAGUUUUAUUGCACUUAAUUAUACUAUUAUACAAUGAAUAAUGGAAAAUUGAAUCUCAAUUUGUACAUUGAUUUCAUUUUUUAAUUACUUUCAACAAAUAUUUUUUUAGACUUAAAAUCUUCAUUUAUUUCUCAUUUUUAUUAAUUUAUGUUACAUUUUUUGAAAGAAGAAAUCUAUAUUUUCAUAAUUGCGGCUCAAACCUAAAAUAUCAAAUAAAUUUGUUCCUAUUUAAACGUUCCUAUAAUUUGGUCACCUCAUGUACGCCACCACCAAUGCAAACAUGGGACGACAUGUGUUCAUCUACACCAAAAAUGGUUUGUUAUAAUUUAUAAGACUAUGGAGAAGUGGAGGAAGAGAAUAUUCUGAUUUGGUCACCUCGUAAACGAGGAUUGAUCAUGAAAGUUGAUUGAAGUAGAAAAUCCGGAGGCAGUCUACACUUUUUGGCACCAAGAUUUCAUUUUGUAUAUAAAAAAAAUUAGAAGAUUUUAAAAUUAGUAAGAAUAACGAGCCUAUUUGGCUAUUUCCUAUCACAACCUGUGGCUUACUAGUAUUGCAUUAAAUAACAAAAGUACUAAGAAAUAUUAAUAAAAAUAUUUUUUAUUUUACGGUCACUCCACCAUUAGAUUAGACCUUACACUCAAAACCAAUGAACCUUGGUCAGACAAAAUGCUAUCAUAGAUCUAGCUAGCUCACAAACUUCUUUUAUGAUAAUUGAUUUUAAGAUUAUUAAAUAUCCUAUAAACUUUUAUUAAGAUAAUAAAUAAGUUUUUGGUAAAUCAAUUUAAUAACUUAAUUUAAAUCAUUAAGUAAAUUAAGUAUGUUUGAUAAUAUAAUUCAAUGAUAUGACUUAAAGUAAAAAACAAUUUUAAGUAAUAAGUAAAAACGAUUAAUUUAUUCUUAAAUUCAUGUAUUUAUUUUAUCUUUUCAUCUUUAUUGUUGCUCAACCUUUUUAUCAUAAUUAUAAUUUAUAAAGAUAAAUAUGUUAAUUUGAUGAUUUAAAAUAAAUUUUAAGUUAAUUUUAUUAAACAAUCUUGAUACUUAAAAUAAGAAUUAAAUAAUAAGUUUUAAGUUAAUAACUUAAAAUCAACUCAAGUUAUUAAGUGAUAAGUAUACAAUUUUACUAAACACCCUCUAAGUUAUCAACUUCUUUUAAAUACUAUUUUUGUAAAUAAUUUAUUUAUUUAUUAUAUAAUUGAAUUUAUUUAUUAUAGUAACAUUAACAAUAUAAAAAACAUGUUAAUAAUAUUUCAGUUCCAUAAAUAUUUAUUUUACAAAAUAUUAGAUAAUACUAUUCUUAAAUUGUGUUUUAAAAAACAGUUACCAAAUAUGGACUAAAUAUCUCCUUUCAAAAUGUGGCUUCCAAUUCUAAAAGCAUAGCAUUGGAAAUUCCUUGACGUAAAUGAAUAAGAAAGUAAAAAUAUAAUAAAUGAUAAAUAAAAAACAUUAUAUUUUCUAAACAUAUCAAAAUUUUCCAUUUUUCUAUUAAUGCUGAUUGCAUACAGGCAUGUGCGUAAUUAAGGGUAGGCGGUAUUCUCCCAACCGCCAUCAUACUCAUACAUUACUUAGCCAUACACUGUCCUCCAGGGUUGCUAUUAUUAACUAUUUCUGGUCAUCACACAUUUACCAGCCAGUGGCAGUGAUGCCAUCGACUAGCAAGUUUGUUGUUGGGAACCAAGACGCUCAUUUUUGAGGUCAUACUCCACGUAAUAAUCCACAUGCUGAGAAUUGCCCAGAAUAAUAGACGGUGCCAGGGUGAUUUCCAAAGUGUUGGUGCCUGCAUCAGAUAAUACAAAUAGAGUUUAAAUAGGUUUACAUCAAAGAAAAAAAAACUAAUUUACUCUACCCUUAAAAAAAGAUAAUAAUUCUAAUACAGUAAAUAAAUAAGUCUAACACUCCAUUUAUUAUAAUUUUUUUUUCUUUUCAUAUUAUAUUCUAUAAGUAUUUUUCCUCACUUAGAACUAAAUAAAAAAAUAUAUCAUUACCAUAAUUCAAAAUCACUUUCUAUUUUAAGUGCUUUUAAAUAUCAUGAUAUCAUAUCUUAUUAAAAAUUAUAUUUUAAAAAUAUUUAUACCAAAUCCAAUGGAAUAUGAUGUAAUAAAAUAUACAUAUCUUUAUUUUAUCCUCUCCCACCUAUCAACGUAAACUUAAUCUCUACUUCAAAGCUUAAAUAACCACAUUCAUAUUCAAACAAUUAUCCAAAAGCUUUUAUGCGUAGUUAUAUAGAAAGCCAACAUUACCCGUCUCUAAUUUAAACCACACAACAAAUAUAAAAAAAGAGCACGAGACCCAAGCUCAAUUUUGUGAGGAUGAGAUAUUUGGCAAACUUUAACUUUAGCAUGGUCAUUUUUUAAUUAAUUCGAGAAAAGAAAGGCUUUUGUCUCCGAAGAAUCGGACAUCAAUAAUUAAUUAUUUUUUCACGUGUUUCACUUAGAGUAGUCGUAGUAGCUUGUUGAAGCUAGCAUAUAAUUGAAUUUGUUGAGUAGCAUCCCUCCACGUGGAAAUGGGGCCCACUUCAAUGAAUUUAAAAAGUAAAUAAAAAACUAUAUACAUAGGAUGAAAAAAGUGAUGUGGGCUAUUUCACAUGUACAAAAACGUGGAAACCUAAGAAAAAGAAAAAGAGAGGAGAGAAAACGAGUGUGGAAAGUGAUGUGAGGUGUGGAUUAUUUGAAAAAGAAAAAGAGAGAAGCGAGAACAAGUGUAGAAAGUGAUGUGAGGCGUGGGUUAUUAUCAUUAUUUUUCGUAGUGAAGAAUUUUAACGGAUUAAGUUUCAUGGCUUUUUUUUUUUCAUAAUAGAGUUUUUUUUUUCAAAAAAUUUGAUGUUUUGAUUUUUUUUGCUUUGUCUUUUUUAUUUUAUCCAAUUUAUCUCUUGAAUAUUUUAUAAUUAUCACAUAUAUUUAAUCACACAAAAAAGAAAAAAAAUUAAUUUUAGAACAAUUAUUAUUUGUACAUUUUUCCCAACAAGAUUAUAUCUUCCAAUACCUCUCAUUAGACAAUUUUUAAUUCCCAAAUCCAAUUUUGGAUCAAAUAAAUGCAGGCUAGCAUAGUAAGGCAAAAAUUUUAAAGAUAUAAAAGGAGAAAAUAAAGUAUAUAUACUAAAGCUUAUUGUUAGCCCAAGGGUUCUCAUAAUCAUAUUUUGAUGAUAACAAAAUAUGAUUAAAUUAUUAAUUAAUUUGAAUUAUAAAAAAUUUCAGGUAUUAAUUUGUAAAUUCAUCAAAGAAUUUAAUGAAUGUGAGAUCAAAACUUUUGAAAAACCUUUUAAUCAUAGGAAACUAUGUAAGAUGAAUGCAUGAGUAUACUUAGGAUUUUCAUAUCAUUUCAUACAUAUUUAAAAAUUCAGUUUAUGCAUUAAAGUUACAUUUCCAUCAAAAUCCAAGUUCUAUCAAAUAAACCUUAGACAAAACGUUUCAAAAUUGACAUAUUAUUUUACAUAAAAACUUUGCUUAAGUGUUAGAAACAAAAAGACCAGAAAAAUAUAGGUUUUCGAGCCAAAUAUGGUAAACUGGUCGAGACAUUGGUCAAUUGGCGCAACCGGCUAGAGUAUCGGUCACUCAUUCCUGAUCAAGGUUCAGUCAAGAGAUGCAAAAAACAUUUUAUCUCUUCCAAUAGCCCUUCUUUCCCGGUCGAAGGAUAUGUCUUCUCGGUCGAGGUCCAGUAAAAGGUAAUGAUCACUUAUCAAGCAUUUAAUGUUCCAACGACUAGUAAACUAGCUAACCCUUAGCUCGAUCGAUCGAUUUUUUUUUUUUGCUUUUUGGCUCUGAAUGUUAUAAACCUAUAAAUUAAGAGAUCCACUUCAUUUAUAAGUAAGAGAACACCUACAUUUAUUUAUUUACCUACUUGUUUUUGCCAUAAAAGCUCUUAUUAUUUUCUUGGUGCAUUAAAUCUCCAUCUCCAUUUCCAUAUUCUUUGGUGCACCUUUGUGAUUCAUCCUAGUCUUGAGUUGUAUUUGAGUCAUUGUUGAGAGAUUCAAACUUGUUAAUUAAGUGUUAAAACUUUCAAGUGAGUAGAGACUUAAAGAGGUUAUGUAAGAACUCAUUGGAGCCGAAAUCCAAGAGUAAAAAGUGAUUAGAAGUUUAGUUGAAACUUUAAGUAUAAGUGAAACCCUCACUCGAUUAGGAGUUUGAGGAGAGUGGAUAUAGGUAAAGAAGUACUGAAUCACAAUAAAUUUGAGUUUGUUUUUUAUAACCUUAUAUCUUUAUUUUUUUGCUUCUUGUGUUUAAUUUUAUUGUGUUUAAAAAUAUUUUUUUUUUAAACUCCAAUUCACCCCCUCUUGGAUGUUUUUAUCUAUUUAGAUUAGCAAUUUAUUUUCUCACUUACAAUUAUUUUUUAUGUUUAAAAAUUCAGUAUUAUGUUUAAGCAUGAACAAAUCUUCCCCAUACUUAUUUAUAUAAGUUAAAGUUUAUUUUAAUUUAUUUAUUUUAGAAUGAAAAUGAAAACAUUUCAUUUAUACACAAUUAAUUGUAAAUGUAUAUAAGUCAAAUCUUAAUUACCCCCUUGAUCUUGUAGUCAAUGUGUGGAAUCCAUUUCACAAAUACCACAGGAUUUGUGUUGAUUGACGAUUGGGAGGCUUAUGUUAUAUUGAAUAUGAAAGUUAUGUUUAGUUUUUGAAAAAUAACAAGGAAAGAAAAAAAAAGGUAUUAAGAAACAUGGUUUUCUCAUUUUUAAUUCUACGGCAAAAAAUAUAUCAAAUAUUUAUAUAUAUAUUUAAAUUAUUUUAUCUUUAAAUAAUAGAGAGAAAUAAGUAAAAUAAGUUUGAAAAAAUAUAUAAAAAUAAUUUAUUAAUUCUAAUUUUUUUUUCACUUUUUUCUACUACUAUUUUCUCAAAUUUAACCAAAACAAUCAUAGUCAACGGAAAUUUGUCCAUAAGGAAUCUUUCUUUUAUUAAAUUACCAGUAAAAUUAAGACAAAUGGCAAACCACCAUAUUUAUAUAACAAUAGCCUCCAUAAUAUGGAUCUUUCUAAAUGAGGCGAGUUUGAGACGAGCCACCCGUCCCAUUUAUUCCAAACAAUUUCUAUUCUUAUCCUAUUAAAAAAGUUAAAUGAGGUGGGGAAAGAUGGGCUAGGGUGGGUAUGCAAAUUUCCCAAACCCGCUCCACCUCACUAUAUUUAACAUUUUUUUUUAAAUAAUAAUUUUUUACAAUUAUGUUUAAUUUUUUUAAUUACAUUAAAAUAAAAAUAUUUUAUAAAUAAUUAAAAUAUUAUAAUUUUUAUAACUUAUUUUAUUGAAAAAUAUUUUUUUUAUUAUAUAUUAAAAAUAGGAAAAUGAAAAUUAAAUUAAAUUAAUUUUAAAAAUUAAUUUUAUAUAUAAUCUAGAUGAUACCGGGCAAGACAAGGUAAUACCAUUUCAAACUGUCUUAGGUUUAAAAAAAAAAAAUCAAACAUGCUCAUAAUUUAUUUAUUUAAAUUUCAAACUCAUCUUAUGGACAUGUAUUUAAAAAAAAUUGUCUCAUUACCAUCCCUAACAAUAAACACUCAAUAUCUCCUUAAUUACAAAUAAAUGGGUACAAUUAUAGCUUCCAAUUCUAAAAAUAUCAACAUGGAAAUUCGUUACAUAACAUCAAUGAAUUCAAAAAGAAAAAAAAUAAUUAUAAAUAAAAAACAUUAUACUUUCUAAGCAUCCCAAAUAUUCCAUUUUUCUAUUAAUGCAUAUUGCAUUAAUAACAACUACUAUAUGGCAUCAAGAUGAAGUGUAAGUGGCACUUGAGUGUAAAAUUUAUAGUUAUGUAAAUAGGAUAAACCGAAGUAGACUUGUAGAACAAAUAAAUUUUAAUUAUUGGUAUUAGACAUAUUUGAUAAUUAUAAUUAUAUUUUUUUAAAAAUAAAAAUAAAAACGUUUUUUCUAAUUAAUAAUAUAAUAAGUAGAUUUUUUUUAAUGAUUUAUCAAUAAUCUUUCUAUGAUUUGCAAUAAUUUUUCAAUAUUUAUAUCACGAGACACUAAUUUUAUUGGUUUAGUCCACAUGAAUAUGACAUGGGUGACUUAUGAAUAUAAUUUCCCAUUUUAAAACCUGUUUAAAAAUUCUGAGAAUAAAUUUUAAAAAAAACCUUUAUUUUCAAAUUUUUGCUAAUAGAACUUCCACAGUAAAAAGUAAAAGAUUAAAGAUGCCAUAAACAUGAUUUAAAAACUUUCAAUUAUAAAAAUAAAAAAGCCGUCAAAAGCGACUAAAUUUAUAUUUAACAAGCUUCUUUUAUUCAAACUGGAGACUGUAAGCACAAAACCUUUCCAGUGGUCCAAUAAUACAAGCAAGCACGUAAUAAAAGGGUAGGCGGUAUUCUCCCAACUGCCGUCACACUCGUACAUUACUUAAGCAUACAAGAUUCUCCUAGGUUGCCAUUAUUAACUAUUUCUGGUCGGCACAUUAUGAAUUGUUUGCCCGGGAAAGUUGAGGUUUUCUAAUAGAAAAUAUCCAGACGAUUCUCCUAUGGCAUACGGAAGACUCUAUUGUGGGCAAUCGUGUGAGCAAUUUUUGGAAUUGCCGUUGCAGCGGGGGCACACAAGGUGAACAUCUGGGGAAAAAAUGCUUACACAUUUGGGAUCUCUGCACCCGAAGAUCUUAUCAGACGACGAAAGUUCGGGAUUGAAGAUUGGGACCUUUUUAGGGUCGGCAUCUGAAAAAGAACAGUUGGUGCAUUUAUAGCGAGUUGUACACGGGGCCCAUACUACAUGACUUCCUGUGUCCACUAUGAAGGAGAGUUUUUGUGGAGGAGUGCCGAAGCUGAGAGAGAUGCUGUGACCUCCAUAACUAUGAGGAAAAAGAGAGAUUUGUCUUAGCGGACUGGUCUUACCAUGUUUCAAGUGAUGGGCUCUGGACAAGGAUGCGUUGGCAAGGUGUUGGAGAAACAGCAAGGGUUCGGUAGAUGGGUUUUUUGUAAAUGUUGACGUUAGAGGGAUGGUAAUGGUGGCAGGUGUGUUAUCUUUGGAGCAAGAUGCCAAGAGAAGGAGAGAUAAUAGAGUAAAGACAGAGAAAAGCAAAGGAGUAGAAGAAGCCAUGGCUGUGUAGCUUAAGAAGCGCACACCAGUGAAAGUGGUAGAGAAAGUCCUUUAUAUAGACAAGGACAUGCGUGGUUUAAUGUUGUUUUUGAAAUUGAGCUUAUUUUUAGAAAAAGAUGAGUUUAAUGUUGUUUUUUGAGAUUAUUUUUUAUCGGACCCUUUUUUUUUUGGAAAAAAAAAAUUAUAAUUAUGCAAAAAGCCAAACAAAUGGAUAAGAAAACAAUGGAGCAACAGCACUUCGUAUUGGAAGAGUGCAUCAGUUGUAAUGUUCUGGAUCCCUUACUAAAAAAAAAUAAAAACAUAUCAUAUCUAAAAUUAUUGGGCAAGAAAGCACCAGAAGCUAAUAGGCCCCACUGGGCCCAAGCCCACCUCUGAAAUUUAGGAAGUGCAUUAAGGAGGUCGGAUAAGUCUUCAAUUCUGAUUUUGGUUUCUCCCUUCAAUCCUCUUUUUGUGUUUUUUUUUCUUUAAUUGUCAUGAGCUUGUCCUAGUUCUAUUUUUCCAGCGCUCACAUGCUUGGGUUUAAUAUCCGAACUCUACCUUUUCCCUUGUGAUCUCAAAUAUCCUUUGAUCGGAGAGAAUCUAGGGGCAAUAAGAAAUGGAUUUGAUUGAACAAAGAUAUUAUUGCCUCUUCCUUGCGGAGACAGCCACACUUACAAACAAAAACAUAAAGGACGGGAUCCAGCUAGUAGGAAUUGCAAUCAUCAAUGAGAUGUUUGUCUUUUUCGUUUUGUUACUUUUCUUUCUUCAAUCUUUUUAAAUAUCACGAGUUGUGUGUGGGAUUGCAGCUGUAAAUAAUGUAGUUUACUGCUCCUUUUGUGGCCAGCUAUGUUUUCUUUGUGAGGUGUGUGUGUUUAGCUAGGUUGAUAAUUUCAGAUAAAAUUUUUAAAUGUCUCCUAAUUCGAUUUAUCAAUUCUUUUUUGGACUAUUUGACUUAAAAAAUUAAUACUUUACUAAAAGAUCGAGAUAUGUAGCCGAGUGAUUGGUGUUUGAAUAUGAAUCAAUCCAGUUUUUAAUCUUUAAAUGUGUUAGAAAGUUAGGAUAAAUGAUUUUUGGUGCAAAGAUUUUAUACACUUGUUUUUGGAUCGAUCCAUGUGUAGGGGCAGAUCGAUCCAACUAACUUGUUUUAAGAUCAAAUCUCAACCAUUAAAUUAAAAGCUUCUUUUUACACUUUAAAAAGUAAUAUUCUCUCAUUUUUUUAUUGAGAGAGAUUGCAGAAAACGUGGGGAGAGUUGCAACCGCUCCAAGUGUUCUUCAUUUUUUCAUCUCUUUUCCUAAUUUGGGGUUUUUGAUUGCAAAGAAAAUCCACUUCUCUUAAUGUUUUCCAAACUAGUUUUUAAUGAAUUUUCUUGAGCAAUAAAUGAGUUGAUUCAUUCUUUCAUUCAUAUUUCAAUCUCUAUUUCUAUUUGGGUUUGUGCAAAAACCCAUUUUCUUCUUGUGUGGAUUCAAAAAGAGGCCGAGAUUGAGCUUGGUGCGGACUCCAAGUGUGCUUCGGAAGAUGAAGGUGAGAAGCUGAAAGUGAAGAUACUAGUCAAGUGGUCCGGGAAUGAUUGGUUGGCUUGAGCUAAGUAAAACCUUGUAUUCGGUUUUUAUUCUUCAUAGUGGAGUGUUUCAAUUGGUGGUAGACCCGUGGUUUUUGAUAUCUUCGAAGGUUUUCUACGUUAAAAUCCGGUGUUAAUUGUCUUUUUCACUCUACACUUGGAUUUAAUUUCUGUUUUUGAUAUCAUUGAUUGUUUGGGCAAACAUGUUGAAUGGAAGAAAUAUGAGGUGAUAUAAGUGUGAUGAUCCAUGGAAUAUCCUUAAUAAUUUUUUUGCUCAUUUUAGUUAAUGAUAUCAUGAAGUAAAUUGAUAUGAGUUGAGGAGAUAAUUGUUCUUUUGAUUUAUUUUUGAGGAUUGUUGAAGUAUUUGCAUGUGUAUUGCAUUUAUAAAUUGUUGGAAGAGUGGUAGUGCAUACAUUCUUGCUUGUGGAAGUAAUUAUACUUUGUUAAAUAAUUGUUGGAAGAUUAGUUUUUUGAUAUUGUGAAAGUCUAAGGUUAGGUAAUCUUUAUUAGGAGAAUUUUUAAAUUGUUUUACAACACUUAUUCAUCCCCCUCUAGGUGUAGUCCAUUAUUGAGAUUCACAUUUUCAAGGUGAUUCUAGCUUGCUGCGUAAACUCCCCCUCUACUCUUAAUAAGAAAAAAAAAAUUAAAAAAUUGAGAGUUAGAUGAAAAAAAAAAUAAAAUAAAGUAAAAAACAAAUAUUGUGAAAGUGAUAAAUUUGUAAUGAAUAAUUUUAUUUAUUUAUUUUAGUUUUGAUUGUACUCUGAAUUAUUCUGUUAUGGCAACUGAAGAAUUAUUUUUUGGGAUUUGAAUUAAAAGAGAUAAAAAAAAUGAAAUGUUUUAAUUAAAAAAAAAAAAUUGUGAAGUGCCUUCCCAUGUUUACAUCAAGUCUCAUGUGGUGGUGCUUUACACUCAUUACACAUGGGUAACUCACUAAUAGCUAUAUUUUUCCUCAAAGAGGAUAUUUGAGGAAAGGUUUCUAGUUAGAAAACUAAGGUUUGUGUGGACCCGUAUUUUUGCUAUAUUUUUCCUCAAAGAGGAUAUUUGAGGAAAGGUUUCUAGUUAGAAAACUAAGGUUUGUGUGGACCCGUAUUAAAAAUACGGGUCCUCACUCGAAUGAGGCUCGUUUUUUAUUUAGUAAAAAAAUGAAUUUAAAAAAAAAAAAAAAAAAAAACAAAAUUAUUAAAAAAACAUUGUGUGACUCAUUAUUUGAAAAAUACGUGUCUAUAAAAAUCGAGUUCAAAUCUGAUGAUCAAAUUACUUAUUGAGAAGGUACGGUAAUGAGUUGUAGUAUCCUUCAAGCCCAUAUACAUACAAUCUCAUCUAAAAAAAUAAAAUGAACUAUGAUAAUUAAUUAAUUAAUUAAUCAUAAAUAUCAACAAAAAAAAUCAUACAAAUCAAUAUACAAUAAAAUAAUGAUAGAAGCAAAUUACAAGAAUGUACAUGGUAAAUGACAUAAAAAUAUGAAUUUGUAUUUUUUAAAAUUAUUAUAAAUAAUAAAAAUUUAUUUAAAAAAAAAAAGUUUUGAUGUUGUUAUUAUUAAAUAAAAUAAAAUAAUAACAGUUCAAAAAAAAAAAAAAACACUGACAUUUACAUCAACAAACCAAAUAAUAAAAAACAUAUAUACAAAAAUAAUAAACAUAAAUAAAAGCCAAUGUAUACAAAAAUAAAUAAAUAAAAAGGAAGAUAGGGAUAAAUGUACAACUUUACAAUGUAAUUCCGUUAACAUUGGCUCUCCAUAGCUUCUCAAACAAAGCUCAAAAAAUAUAAACCAAAAUCUUUCAACCUCACUGCACAUAGAAACUCAAAAAAAUACAAAGACAAAGAGCAUUCAAAGUCCUCCCAUUUUCCUUUUUUGUUUCCAUCUUUCUUUUUAAUCGAAACAUUUCGGUCCUCAGUUAGCCUUCUUCCCAUAACAUUGCACCAAUUGCUCCAACUGCCCCAAACUAACAUUGCACCGCUCUUCCCACUCUUAGCAACAACCAAAAGAAAUUCCAACUCAAACAUCAAGAAAAAUGAAUAAGUAGAAUAUAUAUGUCCAAGCCCAAUAAGAAUAAAAAAGAAAAUCCAAAUGCAAUUGAACCCAAAGAGCAAGUCUAACACAAACAAUAAGCCCAAAUCUCAAAUCAGAAACUUAGCCCAAAUACAAUAAGAAUUAAAGCCCAAGAUUAGUCCCAAAGCCAUCAACAAAUACUGUGUAGAUCAAGAAGUGAAAUGUCCCGCAAAAAACCCUUAAAACUCAACCAAAUGAACAUAUCCAAAAUCAAAUAGAUCAAUCUUAUCAAAUCCAAAACAUAAAAUAAAUAAACAAAAACAAAAACAAGUAAACAGAGAGACCAAAGGAAAAAUAAAAUAAAACCUAAAAAUUUAUUAGACAUUAAUAAGCUGAGGUAGUGAAAUCAUAAAGGAAAAGAAGUGGACAUGGUGAUUGAGCGGCAAGGAGAAAGGCGAUUGCAACAUCAGUAAUAGCAAGGUGUGUGGCCAAAGGUCAGUGGCUAGUUGUAGCCAGAUUUAGUGUUAAUGGUGGAAGAUAAAGAAAGAAGACGAGGGAAAGAGAAAGAGGGAAAUGAGAUAGAGAGAGAGAGAGAGAGAGAGAAAGUAAGAGAUGUUGGAACUUCAUUUUGCUUGUAUCCAAUUAUUAGACAGGAAUCGCAUGUUGAAUCAUAUGAAGAAAUUAUGCCAAACGUUUCUAUAGAAAGGGAACAUACAGAAUCUGAACUAACCUGAAUCCAUUUUGAGUGUUGAAUGAACAAGGUAUGGAUCUUCUAAGGUUGUGGAGGGCACCACCUCUUUUUGGAUUCUCUCUGACGAUGGGAGCAGAAGAGAAAACGAGUAUGUUCUUAUUUCAAAUGAUGUGAUUAGAUUGAACAGACACUUAGCCUUUGGUUUUAUACCCUCCCGCCUUAGGGACCAUACCCUUUGACUAUUGGGUCUCACGAGUCUUAGGCCCAUCAUCUAAGGCCCGUGAUGACAAUAAGCUCUACACAUAAGGUGGCCCAUACUAUGGAAAACUGAUAUAAAAUAAAUAUCAAAUAAAAAUAAAAUAGAUAAUAAAAAGUAAAAUAAUGAAAAUAAUAAUAAUAAUAAAAAUAAAUGGGACAAUUUCAAGGUCUACAAUUGAUAUGGUAACCAUUUUUAAAAAAUUUUCUCUAAUAUUUUUUAAAACAAAUAUUAGUUUGAGAAUCUAAAAUAUUUUCAAAAUAUUUUUAAUGUUUUUAAAUAUGUUUUAAAAAUAAUUUUUCUAAUGUUUUUAUUUUUAAUAAUUCUAUAUGUUAAUAUAAUUAUUAUUUAAAAUAACUCUAAAAGAAUAAGUGAAUACAGUCAAAAGAUGUUCUCUAAAAAUACUAUAUUUUUUGUUUUUAAGAAUAAAAAAUACAAAACAAUUAUCUAGUUGUGUGGACUCGCAUUUUUCAUAUGUAUUUCCAUUAUAAUCGUUUUUAUUGUAAAAAAAUAAUUUACUGAAAAUUAAAGUCGAUAGCUAUUUUUGUUUAUUUUUAAAAGAGAAAAUAAAAUAAAAAAUAAAAUUAUAUUGUAACUUCUUUUUGAAAAAAAAGAUAGAUCUAAAAAAAAUAAAGUCCGAAUUUAAGGUGAGGUUAUUUAUUGAAAAUGUAUCAUCUAAAGAAAUAUUUUCUAAAUAAGUGGGAUUGUGAUGAUUAAUUUAUUAAUUAUAAAUAAAUAAAAAUGUCAUAAAUAUGUACAUGCGUGUCAAUGAAAAAAGCAUAUUGCAAGAAUCCGAAAUGAAUGACAAAAUAAAUACACAAAGUGAAUUAUUAAAAUGAUUUUUUGUUGGACUCUAGUUUCAAAACUAUAAUCAUUUUUGUUAUUUUAUGACUAAUAUUGUAAGCUAAAAAUUAUAAUUAUGAAAAGGACCAUAAUUAGAUGAGAUUCUGCUUACUCAUUAAUCACUUUGCUUCCUUUUUUUAUUUGGUUCUUAUUUUGUUUUUUUGUAUAUAUUAGUUGGUAGAAAGCAUUCUGCUAAAUCAUUAAUGGUUCUUGUGAUGUCAAAAGAUGUACCUGAUUAUAUACAAAGCUGAGAAAAAAAGGGAGUGACCUCUAUAUUUGUGAGGAAAGAUUUGCAGUCUCCACAAGAGGGCUGCUCUUACGGCCAUAUUUGAUCAAGCGAUGAAGUAGGGUUAAUGGCGAAGAGGCGAGGUUAUGAUUAGGUUCGGAAGCUGGGUCGCGGGUGAAUAGUGGUGUCAGAAGGAUACUAUUGGUGGUGGGUUUCUCAUCUUUGGAUGAAGAUGCCAAGCAUAUGAGAGAGGAGAGUUAAAAGGAAAAAAAAAAAAAAAAAAAAAGGAAGACGAAGAAAAAGCCCAGAAGAAUAAGCCAUGGCCGGCCCUCAAUUAAUUAUCACUGCGUCCACUGCAUGUCUUAAGAUGGGUGGACCAAUCGUUUAUGUAGAGAAGCAUGCAUGAGACAGAGGUAGGCAGGAACACAAGCGCUACUACAUUAGCUACAAUUGCCCUUGUAUUGAAGGGAAGUUAUAAAGUUACCAUUCUGCAUCCACAUAAAAUUAAAUCAUCUCUUGAUGUUGGUUGGGAAACACUCCCAUUUGUGUUCUUUAGUGAUUUUAUCCCCUAAUAAUGUUUUUGUUCUUUUUUUUGGAAUAUGCUAUGGUAGGAAAAUGUCACUUAUAGAAUAAGAAAUUUGAAAUAUAAAUAUAUGGUGAGAUCUAAUUGAUUAGGAUAGUCUAGUUGAUCGGAACGAACAUUGAAAAGUAUGAUUCUAAUAAGUGACACAUUAUCUUGAACAAUUAUAAUUUUAUCAUUGAUGAUAUUUUGAAUUUACUUGUUAGUUAUUACGAAAUGGUUCAUACAUAUAGGUUUGUAUCUAAUGGGGUAUAUAUAGAGUUUAAUAAAAAUAGAAGUGGAUGAAAUCUUAAAAAAAAAAAAAAUUAAGAAAAAAUAAAAAUAAAAAAUAAAAAAGGGUAAAAGGGCAAACCGUACGAAUAAAUAGUAAAACUAGGGAAUAAAAAUGAGAUUAGAAAACGUAUACUUAACACCACCUUUUUGCUCUACUCAAUAUUAUCCUACAAAGGAUAUUGGAAUUUGAAAAGCAUCCGAGGUGGAAGCCACUGAUAGUUUAGUCAAAGCUAAUCAACUCCAAUGAGUACAUGUACGCCCACUCAAGAGGGAUUUUGAAAAAAAUAUAGUAAUUUAAAAUAAUAUCUUUUAAAAUAUAAUAAUUCAAAAAACAUUUCUAAAUUUAGAACACUUUGAACUAAUCCAAUUAAAAAUUGUCUAAAAGACAAUCUGCAUAUUUACAUUGAAGUUAUCUUUUUUUAAAAAUAAAAAAAAAAUCAAUUGAUAUCAUAAAAAAUGUCUUAAUAAAUAUUUUUAGAAAUAAUAUUUUGUCAAAAAAAUAUAUAAUAAAUACCAUUAAUAAAAAACGUUCCCUAUAACAAAGACCACAUACUGCUUAGGAUGGGAGGAGGAUAUAUGGCAUGGCAAUGGUUUAGUAGAGGAGCGACCACUACCAAAAUCUUCUUUAACUUAUUACGGAUGCGAUGUCUCGCCCUUUUCCAUCUAGCACUACUGCCCAGUCUGCCCUUCUCACAUCAAUUGUUUUCGUUCCUAGGCAAUCCAUUUGCCACAUCAUAAUAGUAACCAGUCUUUUCAUAAAGUUGCCUACUUUUUCUCUUCAGGACAUUCUAAUCUCAAAUAGAAAAUUGGAUUUUGCUUGUGGCUUUUUUAUUAUCUAAUCUGGGGGGUCAUCAUUGGAAUAAGGAGUCCAAGUUAGAUUGUCCCGUCAUUAUAUUUUGGAUGCAGAUUCUUAUCUUCCAUUUUUUGGGCUUUUUAUCACUUACAAUCGAGUACGUGUCCCCACUCAGAAUGACAUUUAAUUAUUUGAAAGAACUUUUAAGAAUCAUUUUUAUAUUCCAUAAUGUAUGUACUAAUAUUUUAAUACAACAGAAGUUAUAUCAGUAGAAAAAGACAAAAGUAGUGUCAUUUCAGUUUAUUAAAGUGAAUAUGUACUUGGUCAAAAAUGGGAAAUCGCAAUCUACACCUUUAGAGACUUCAACUUCUAAGCAAUCCAAGCAUGGGAAAAAGUAGCGAUUCACCUGUCAACGAUGCUUGCCGAAGGUUGAUUACAUCGACGGUUAGUUGGUUAUUGGGUGGAGUGACCACGUAGCUACGUAGCACAGGUCAACAAGUGAAUAUGCUAAUUUAUUAAAAAAAAAAAUCUACUAAAAUUUCGGAAAGUAAAAAGUAAAAAUAUGUCAUGAACAUGAUUUAAAAAAAUUAAUUUAUAAUUUUUUAAUCAUAAAAAUAAAAAUGCCAUCAAAAGUGCCAAAAUUUAUAUUUAAGAGGCUUCUUUUAUUUAGACUGGAAAGCGUAAACACAAAGCCUUUCCAGUGGUCCAACAAUAAAGGCAUUUACGUAGUUAAGGGUAGGCGGUAGUCUCCCAACCACCGUCACACUCGUACAUUACUUAACCAUACAGGGUCAUUUCUGGCCAGCAGACAUCUACAGCCAGUGGCAGUGAUGUCCUAGCCUAGCAAGUUUGUUGUCGGAAACCAAGACGCUCAUUUUUGAGGUCAAACUCCACAUAAUGAUCCACCUGCUGAUAAUUCCCCAGAAUAAUAGACGGUCCCGGAGUGAAUUCCAAAUUGUUGGUAGGCGAAUCAGUGGUGACGGGGAAACAACCCAAGCUUGCCUCAGAAAAAAGCAAAAAAUAAUUCAUUCCUGGCACCACCAUAUUUGCGCCACCUGUAAAUUGGUAAAUUAAGUCGGGGAUUUUUAUGGAUUUGUGGCCUGUGAAAUUAUAACAAGGCGUCAGACCGGACUGGGUUUCUGCCUCGAGAGAUCUCCUAUACUUGGACAUCUGCUUUUUCAGUUCAUUUGUCACUAUCUUAAAAACCGGUAGUGUCAUGUAGCCGUACGCGAAACCAGAAUCUAUCAUGACACCACCUCGGCUGUCAGAUCCUGGAGUCAGAUACUUGCCUGGAAUCCUGAGGAGCUUGUUUCCGAUCUUCAUAUCUUUGACACCCAAGUAGUAGUAAAACGGGUAGUCAGGAGGGUUCUUGAGAAAGGGAGCAUAGGAAAGUCCUUGGGUUUCGCCAUCACUGUAGUCCAAAAUCAACUUGCCGCUGUUCCGGGUGUCAUCGUAAUCGUGCGAAUUGAGACAGUAAGCAAACUUCUUCACACCCAUCUGCAUCGGCAACGAGAACAUUGUGCGACCGAACCCCGCAAGUGCGUCAGAAGAAGGUUCACGGUCAGCGGAUGUUGUACACCCAACAAGAAAUUUAUGAAUUGUUUUCCCGGGAAAGUCGAGGUUUUCUAAUAGAAAAAACCCAGAUGCUGCUCCUGUGCCAUACUGAAGAGUGUAUUGUGGGCAAGCGUGGGAGCAUUUUUUGGAAUUGCCAUUGCAGCGGGGGCACCCGAGGUGAACAUCUGGGGAGGAAGUGUUUGCACAUUUGGGAUCUCUGCACCCCAAGAUCUUAUCAGAUGACGAAAGUUCGGGAUUGAAGAUGGGGACCUUUUUGGGGUUUGAAAAAGAACAGUUAGUGCAUGUGUAGUGAGUUGUGCACGGGGCCCAUACUACAUGACUUCCUGUGUCCACCAGGAAGGAGAGUUUUUGUGGAGGAGUGCCGAAGCUGAGAGGGAUGGUGUGACCUCCAUGACUAUGAGGAAAAAGAGAGGUUUGUAUGAGAGGGCUGGCCUUCCCAUGUUUCAAAUGAUGGGAUCUGGACAUGGAUGCAGUGGCAAGGUGUUGGAGAAACAGCAACGGUUCGGUAGAUGGGUUCUUUGUAAAUGUUGGUGUUAGAGGGAUGGUAAUGGUGGCAGGUAUGUUAUUUUUGGAGGAAGAUGCCAAGACAAGGCGAGAGAAGAGAGUAAAGACAGAGAAAAGCAAAGUAGUAAAAGAAGCCAUAGCUGUGUAGCUUCAGAAGCGCACACCAGUGAAAGUGGUAGAGAGAGUCGUUUAUAUAGACAAUGACAAGCGUGAUUUAUAUGUAGUUAUUUUAAAAUCCAUUGUCAAUUUUAUAUGGGAUUUUCAAAGUGCAGAGAAACAAAUGGAGAUUUGUCUUGUAAAAAAAUUAGUAAAAAGAUUGUUUGUAAAAUAAAUACAAAAAUAUGAAUUGUCUUUUUUUUUCUUUUCUGGCAUUGAAUAUGAUCCGGUCCUACCCAUCUUACAUUCAUACCCACUGGGCCCAAGCCUACUCCUGAAAUAUCAAGAUCGGAUGGAUAAAAGUCUCCCAUUCUCAUUUUGGUUUCUCCCUUCAAUCCUUUUCUGUGUUUUUUUUUUUUUUUUUAACUUGUUCUGAAGUUGUCUUGGUUCUAUUUUUCCAACCUUAACAUUCGAAGGGUAUGAUAUGGGUUUAAUAUCCGACUCCACCUUUCCCUUUGUAAUCUCAGAUAUCCUGCACGCUUUACACUUGAUAUUGAUAAUUUUAAUCACAUAAUCCAGUUUUAGUUGUUUAAUCUAAAAAUGUUUUCCAAUAUUUGAGUUCUUUAGAGUGCAUUUGAUAGUGAUUUUGAAAAAUGUUUUUAACAUUUUUAAUACUUAAAAAAUAAAAAUCUUUAAAUAUUAGAAAAACUAAAAACACUUCCUAAAAUCAUUGUCAAACGCACUCUUAAUCUGAAAAUAUAUGAUAUAGGUCACUAUCAAUACAAACUUGGGGCCACAUGUGUUCCCUCCCACCAAAAUUGGUAUAUAUUAUAGAAUUAAUUCAUCAAUACUUAUCAUAUUUAUGAAUUUAACCAUUCCUAUAUUUUUGUUUGAAGAAUAACCAUUUUUUGACGUAUUUGUCCUUGAUUAUUUCAAAUAUUUACGUAUAUGUUUUAAAAGAAAAAAAUAUUUUUAUAAGAAAAAAAUAUUUUUAUAAGGAAAAAAUGAGGAUAUUUUUAUCAAAAUGAGACAAAAAAUGAAUGAAGGGAUUAAAUUUCCAAAACUAGGUUUUCAAUUACUCUUUUAAUUAAAUAACUCUCUAUUAUAUAAGACUACAAAAAAGUGGAGGAAGGGAAUAGUCUCAUUUAGUUACCUAGUAAAUGAGGAUUGAUUUAAUUUUUUUAAAAAAAAUUAGCAAGAAUAAUAAGCCUAUACUUGCCUCUUACUAUUGCCUUAAAUAUAAACUAAAAUUCAAACAUUUUCUAUUAAUUUUAUUAUUGAUAUCGUAAAUAGUACAAAAAUUCAAGUUUUGAUAUUAUGUUGAAUUACCAAUUUUUUUAAUAAAUAUGCAAACUAGGGAGAAGUGAUUCAGGACCUCCCACCCAUACCCACGAGUGGAGAAAUAGAUCAAGGUGUUGACUAAUAGACUUAAAAUGGUAAUGAACAAAAUGAUUUCAAAGUCCCAAAAUGUCUUUGAGACAUAUUUUAGAUGUAAUAUUGAUUACAAAUAAGGCUCAAAGUUGAAAAACAAUAAAAGUGGUGUCUUAUCGAAAAGGGUAUUGCCAUGUGAAUUGGAAGUUUUUGUUUGCGGUGCUGAGAAAUAUGGACUCCUGGUAAUUGAAGUCCCACUAACAAAAGCUAGCACAAGGGAAUCAUCAUCCUCACUCUUUGUGGACGCAGGACUGCCUCACGAAUGAAGAUAAGAUAUCCACCUUCCCACGUUUCUUGUAUUGAUAUUGACGUCAUCUUCACGUUUACCGAAGGUACUCCAUUCCUCUUCUCGAAAUCUAUGACUAAAAAAGGUGAGGAUAAGAAGAUGCAACAAUGUUUACAUAUGGUUAUAGGCUUGUAGCUGCUAAGCAUGCUUGGCAAAAUUUAGCCCUAUUUGCCAAUGGGCCUUCAGACGGAGAGAUGGGUAUUUGUCAAAAUAGGCUACAGAUUUUUAAUUCUUUUAGCCAUGCGUUCCAGAACAAUACAGAAUGUGGUAGACAACAUUAGCCAUCAGUUUCCCAUAUAAAUGGAUGUCAUCCUCAAAUCAAUUCUUCUUGUACUUUCUUUGUGAUUCCUACAAUUAGAACAACAUGGCAUGAGUAUUCAUAUAAAUGAUCAGUAUGAAUGGAGAACGGAAUUUUGAAUGAUAAUAAGAGAUAUUCAGGUAUGGUCCCAACUAGACUAGUAGUGCUUGUAUGAGUGUAGACCACUUGGGUCUCAACAUCCUCACUGCUCGCUACCUCACGUGGAUCACGAUUGUUGGAAUGCAUAUUUUUUGUGAGCUUCAUGUUUGGGGUUAGCCCUUUUAGUUACUUCUAAAUUGAAGUCAUUUUAAAAAUAAUCUUAAGAUAAAUUUUAAAGUCUAAAGUUGUUUCUUUAAUACAAGUGACAUUAAACUCUAGUAUUUUUGAAAAAUAUGUUGUAUAUGAAACGGAGGAAGCUGAGACAUACUCGAAGGGAUUUGGCCAUAAGUCCACGACAUCAUAUUUCUAGCACUACACGUUACGACAUAAUUUGCACCCGAGGGCCCCAGCAUCGUACGUAUGGGGAAAGUAUAACAUUACAUUGACCCCACAUCUCACUUCCAGUGGCUCACAAGCCUCCACCUGUCUUACCUUCGAUGCGGUCACGGUCAUCAGCUCGCUUUCUGCCUUGUUCUACUCAAUGUUACCCCACAAAGAAUAUUGGAAUUUGAAAAGCACCCGAGGUGAUUUAAAAAGUUAUUUUUAAAUCUACAAUAUUUGGAGUAAAUCUAAUUGAAAGUUGUUUUUAAAGUUAUGUUUUGAAUUUUUUUUUCAUAUUUACACUGAAAUUUUCUUUUUAAAAGAUAAUUAAAAUAUCCUAAAUUUGAAAAUAAUUUUUUAAAUGUUAUAUUUUAAUAAAUAUUUCAGUAAAGAAAAAUAAUAUUUUUGUGAAAAAAAUAUGAUAAACAAUAUAUACAAUAAGCAAAGUCAUCAGUCAAAAAUGGUCCCAAAAACAAAUGCCGCAUCGCGGAGCAUGACAGUUACCCCGCCCCUUACGUUGCGGACAAAGCCAAAGAAGUUGAUUAUAAAGCCAACGAAGUGAUUUAGCGGAGGAGCGACCACUAACAAAAGUUGAAACUACCAAAAGCAGAAAUGUGAAUAUGUGAUGGUGGCGUGGUCAUCUUCCUCACUAUCGAUGCAACGUCUCCUUCUUUUACCUCUAGUGCUGCCCUGCUCACAUAGAUUAUUUUCGUUCCUGGGCCAUCCAUUUUCCAUAUCAGAAUAAUAACCUGUCAAUUCAUAAAGUUGCCGACUUUUUCUCUACUGGACAUUCUAACCUAAAAUAGAGAGUUGGAUUUUAUUUGUGGCUUUUUUUUUUCUUUUCUUUUUUUUUUUAAUUUUUAAUUUUAAUUUGGAGUCAUUAUUGGAGUAAGAUAUCCAAGUUAGAUGGUCUUGUCAUUAUAUUUAUAUAUGUUACCUGUGAGGUACUUGGAACCUACACCAUUUUAUGUCCUAUAAAUCAUGUGCCCUAAAAAGCUUUAGCAUAUACCAUAUUUGAAUACCAAUUAAAUAUCAUGUCAUUUUGCAUAUACAAGACUUUAUUGAUCCAACUCCAACCUCGCACUCAUGUAAACAUGGAUAUAUCCAACCAAUUCGACAGGGUAGAAAUUUUAUUAUGGGGUAAAAUGGGAAAAUCAUAAAUCAUAAUAAUAUUAGAUAGAAUUUCAGAUUUUAAAAUCAUUAUUUCCAGUAUCAUUCAAAAAAAAAGUAUUUAUUAAUAUUAAUUUAUGUAAUUUUUUUUAUAAUAUAUCAAAUUAAAUAACAUAAAUACUAAGAAAUAUGAACAAAAAAAGCUUUUGAAAUUAUGGUGGCUUCUCCAUUAGGUUACAUCAUAGGUUCAAACCAUCGAACUUUGGCACAUAAAAUGUUGUGAUAGACCUAAUUAGGUCACUAAUUUCUUUUACAUUUUAUUUUCAAAAUUACUAGUAAAUUUAAAAAUAUAAAAAAAUGUGUCAUUCUUUUUCAUUUUUUAUUAUUUUAACAAAAUUCUAUUUUUAUUCAUAUUUGAUUUCAAAUGCGAGGAUAUUAAUGAGCUUUGAGUAUCAUAUAGAAUUUCAAAUAUAUUGUGAAUCCAAAAAUUAAAAUUGAAUUAUUGUAAUUUCCAAUCAAAAUUCAUUAUAACUCACUAGUUUACUAAUCUUAGAAAUGAAUGAAACUUUCUAUGCAUAGGGACUUACAUGUAAAAAGAGUUAUGUCAUCCUUUAUUGGUAUGGACGCGGCUGCCCAAUUUUAAAAUUCAGUAAGUUAUCAUUGUCACGUUAAUUAUUCUUCCUUCUCAUGCACCCCACAAAACAAUAAACAACAUAAUUUGCCUCAAGUUAUAGAAGCGCGACUUUUUUUUUUUCAAGAUUACUAGUAAAUUUAAAAAUAUAAAAAAUAUGUCAUUCUUUUUUCCUUUUUUAUUAUUUUAAUAAAAUUCUGUUUUUAUUAAUAUUUGAUUUCAGAUGCGUUGAUAUUAAUGAGCUUUGAGUAUUAUAUAGAAUUUCAAUAUAUUGCGAAUUCAAAAAUUAAAAUUGAAUUAUUAUAAUUUCCAAUCAAAAUUGAAUUAUUAUAAUUUCCAAUCAAAAUUCAUUAUAACUCACUAGUUGGCUAAUCUUAGAGAUGAAUGAGACUUUUCAUACAUGUGUGUAAAAAGAGUUAUGUCAUCCUUUACUGGUGUGAACGCAACUGCCCAAUUUUAAAAUUCAGGGUUGUCAUUGUCACAUCAAUUAUUCUUCCUUCUCAUGCACCCCACAAAACAAGAAACAACAUAUUUUUUUUUUGUCACAUCAAUUAAUUGAUUUUUUUUUUCAAGAUUACUAGUAAAUUUAAAAACAUAAAAAAUAUGUCAUUCUUUUUCCUUUUUUUAUUAUUUUAAUAAAAUUUUGUUUUUAUUAAUAUUUGAUUUCAGAUACGAGGAUAUUAAUGAGCUUUGAAUAUUAUAUAGAAUUUCAAAUAUAUUGCGAAUCCAAAAAUUAAAAUUGAAUUAUUGUAAUUUCCAAUCAAAAUUCAUUAUAACUCACUAAUUCACUAAUCUUAGAGAUGAAUGAGACUUUUCAUGCAUAUAUACUUACAUGUAAAAAGAGUUACGCCAUCCUUUACCAGUGUGGACGCCGUUGCCCAAUUUUAAAAUUUAGUAGGUUAUCAUUGUCACAUCAAUUAUUCUUCCUUCUCAUGCACUCCACAAAACAAGAAACAACAUAAUUUGCCUCAAGUUAUGAAAGUGAGACUUUUUUUUUUUGUCACAUCAAUUAAUUGAAUUUUUUUUCAAGAUUACUAGUAAAUUCAAAAAUAUAAAAAUUAUGUCAUUCUUUUUCCUUUUUUAUUAUUUUAAUAAAAUAAUGUGUUUUAUUAAUAUUUGAUUUCAGAUGCGUUGAUAUUAAUAAGCUUUGAGUAUUAUAUAGAAUUUCAAUAUAUUGCGAAUCCAAAAAUUAAAAUUGAAUUAUUAUAAUUUCCAAUCAAAAUUUAUGAUAUCUCACUAGUUUGCUAAUCUUAGAGAUGAAUGAGACUUUCCAUGCAUAUAUACUUAUAUGCAAAAAAAAAAGUUACGUCAUCCUUUACAACACGAUUGCCCAAUUUUUAAAUUCAAUAAGUUGUCAUUGUCACAUCAAUUAUUUUUCCUUCUCAUGCACCUCACAAAAUAAGAAACAACAUAAUUUGUCUCAAGUUAUGGAAGUGGGACUUUUUUUUUUGUCACAUCAAUUAAUUGACUUUUUUUUUUUUGUGCUUUGUUUUAGACAAGGUCGAAAAUAUCAGAUAAGGACGAAAAUAUUGAGAGAUAUCGGUCAUGGCCCUCCACGGAAAAAAUCACCAAAAUUUUAGCUAUAUAUCGAUGAUGUGUAAUGUCUAAAGUUUUGCAAAUUUUUAAUUUUAGUAUAAUGGGCCAAAGGCAUUAGGCCCAGCCCGCCUACAGUAGUGGACGUGUGCUGCGUAAGGUAACACCUUACAUAGAGACUAUAAAGCUUUCAAUCUCUCAACGUUUCAAUGUGUAUGUAUGUGUUUAAAAUUGUUUAUAUAUAUUAUACAUUAUAAUAUAUUUUAUAAAUUAAUUAAACUAAAAUUAUUAUAAAUAAUUACCUUAUAAUAUAUUUUGAAUACUAAUUAAAUAUAAAAUCAUAAAUAAAAUUAUCAAUAUUUUUAAAUAAAAAUAUUUUAUAUAAAAAUAUCCAAUGAUAUUUCUCCGAUAUAUCUCAUGUGUUCAUAAAAUUCAAGUAUAGUAUAUCUUUAAUUACCAAUAUUUUCAUCUUUUGUUUUAAUUUAUCUUAAUGCCUUAAAUAGAGUAUUUGAUUUUAUUUUAUUUUUUCAAUUGAACAAUAAAAUAAAAAAAAAAUAAAAAUAAAAAUAAAAAUAUGAAAGAAUUCAAUUUAAAAAAAUAAAAAAUUAAAUAUAAUAAAGAUUACUCAAAAUUAUGAUUAUAUUUAGAAAAUGUUUUUAAAAAUGGUUAUGAAAAAUAAUAGUUGACAAUUAUUUUUUUAAAUUAUUUUAUGAUGUUUUUAUAAGAAAAGUUUAUUUGAGAAUAUUUAAAAUAAUAUAAACUUAUUUUUAUAUAUUUUUAAAAUAAUAUUUAUAUAUAAUAAUUUAUUUUUUAAUCAUUCUUUAUAUUUAUAUAAUUAUUUAUUAAAAUUGUUGUGAGAAAAUAAGUAAAAACAAGUAAAAUAUGUUAUAUAUAAUCUUAUUUUAUAUUUUUAAAAAUUGAAAACCGUAUCCCAUUUUUUUUUGUUACCAAAUAUGUUUUCCUUUUUUUGGUUCUUGAAAACAUAAAAUUAUCUUUGAAAUAACUUCCAACAAACCCUACACAUUUCAAAGUUUUUUAAUAAAAAGAUAAAUUUAAAACAACAUGUACAAAAAUUUUAUUUAAUAUAACCCUAUUUUUUAUAGUUUCCUUUACACUUAUCAUCAUGGCUUCCAAUUUUAAUUACAAUUAUGAAUGGUAAGAGGCAAUUGAAUUCAAUGUACUACAGGUACAUUAUGUACUAUUUUAUCCAACAUUAACUUCUAGAAAUAUUUUAUUAAAAUAUGAAAUAAUACCUAUAUUUAAGAAAAUAAUUUUCAUAUAUUAAAAAUUAUACACAUUACUAUUCAAUAAGAGAUUAAAAAUUAUAUAUAUAUUGUUUUUAAUAAUCCAAUAAGCCUAAAUUCUGCAAUGUAGAGUGAUAAAUAUAAAUAUGAAAUACUAAAUUCAUAUUUAAGAAGAGUAGUAUUUUAUUUAGACAUGAGAUUAGAAACUGCUCCAACAAUACAAACAUGUACUUAAUAAAAGCUGAGAAGUUUUGACAAAAAAUAUUACGUUUUAAAUAAUCUAUAAAGUAAAUUAAAAUACAAAAUAAUGUCCAAUUUAGUGCAUUAGGGCCCUAUAUGCCUUCAUGUCAUAAAAUCGAAGUUGGUAAUUAUGAUUUAUAAUUUUUUUUUUUUAAAUGGUCAAAAUUGUAGUCAUCAACCAUGAAUUAACUUUAAACUUAAAAUCGUAGUUGAUAACUAUGACUUUGACCAAUUUAAAAAAAUGUUCAAAGCCAUAGUCACCGUGGUUGGUAACUAUGGCUUUGAACAUGAUUUUAAUUUAAACUAAAUAAAUUUAAAUUCACUCACUAAUUAUCUUUCUAUGUAAUUCCAUUUCAUAUAUCAACAAUAUCCUACCAAUGUUUGAAAUAUCAGUAAACAUGGAUAUAUUAACAAUAUCCGACCAAUGUUUGAAAUAUCAGUAAAUAGUAAAAAUUCAAAAUUCAAAAUUAUUAUUCAAUAAUUAUUUGAAGAAAAUUAUUCAAAAUUCAUGAAAAUAUUUGAAAAAACUUCAAAAAUGAUAAAAUAAAUAAAAAUACACAUGUUAAAGUUAUUUUUUAAGUGUAAUUGAUAUAUGUAUGGUUAAAGAGAAAAAUAUCGAUAAGUAAGGAUAUGUCAGUAUUAAUAAUUUAUUAUUUAUUUAAUCAAAUUAAUUUUAAUUUAUAAAAUAUUUGAACUUAAUUAUUUUUUUUAUAUUUUAGUAUUUUUGAAUCAUUUUUAAUAUUUUAAAAUAAAAAUAUUCAAAAUUAAAUAAAAUUAAAAAGAUAAAUAUAAAAAAUUUAAAAGUGAAGUGGUAGUAAUUUUUUUAAAAUAGGAUUAAUGAGAUAAUGAUGAUACAUUUAUGUAGACCCCCUUUAGAGAGCAAGGACGUUUAGUUUUUUUUAAGGGAUUUUUUUAUGGCAUGGGGGGGCCCUUUUUCUGCUGAAGGGAAGCCGGAUUAGACGUGCAAGCAUGGAUGGCCAGAUGGGUAGUUGAGGAAGCCAUGCUGCUGAUGUGAGGAACAACAAACGGAGGAGUGGCUUGCCAAGGAAGAUAGGAACAGGGGAUGAGAGAGAAAAGAAAAAAGAAAAGGAGUUUUAGCGGGUAGAGGAAGUAGAGAGAUCGAGUGAGGAGCUGGUGCGAGAACAUGGGGGUACGGCAGAUUUCGAGAGAGAGAGAGGUACCAGAGGAGCAAGGGGAGAAAGCAGAGGAGCUUUUAAAAUCUGGCUGGUAGAGGAGGCAGAGAGGGCGGUAAGAUAAGUGAGCUUCAUUGGAAAGGAGUUUCACAGGUAUGGAGUAUCGUUUUUUUUUUAGGGUCUUCCUCAUUAUCAUUGUUCCUCAUCAUCUUUUCUUACUACUUAAGCAUUGUUAGUUUGUCUGGUUGUAGAUUGAGUUUUGCUGAAUUUGAGUUUGUUUUUAUGCUUGCUCUGUUUUGGUUCUUUUCUGCCCUCUUUGAUUUCUCCUGUCAAUAACUGAUGUAUGGAUUGUUUUUGAGCUUGAUGUUUGAUUAAUCAUGCCACUGCUCUCUACUUGUCUCACCUGUUUAGACCCAUUAAAUGUAGCAUGAGAUGGAGUCUUAAUUAACGGACUUUGAGUGUGCUCUGUUUCUUGAGCCUUCCCCUUUUGCUUUUGAAAAAUACCAACCAUUAUUAUGUAAACUACCUGAAAGUCCCGGGACUAUGGUAGUAUAGGAUGGAAGUUUGAGGCAUCAUUUAGGUUGCGGAGCCUUCUAGAUUUUCGCCAGCACCAGUCAGCAUGUUCAUUGCUGACACACAAGCUGAUAAGCUUCAUGGAAAUAAUGUCCUCGGGAGGGAGGUCCGGCGAGGAGGAUGAAAUUCUUCCAUAAGUGGCAGCCACUGUGACAUGUAAAAGAUUAAAAAAAAAAAGUGAAAAGUGGCAAUUCUAAGGUGACCUGGGAAUCACCAUAAGUGGCAUAAACAUGUGACCAAAUUUGAUUCCUACAAAUUCUUUUUUUUUUUUUUAAAAACGAUCCUUAAAGUCCCGGUUUUUUUAGAUAACAUGUCAAGUCCAAAUUUCAAAUGACAACUAAAAAUUCGCAUUUCCGAAACUCCGUUUUUUUUUAAAAGAAAAGAAAAAAAAUUAUUUCUUCAAGAUUCAAUUCUCAACAUUAUUUUCUAAAAUCAUAAUUUUAAAUUUAACUUUCCAAGGUUCAAACUUUUAAAUUCAAUUUUUCAAAAUCUCGACUUCCGAAUUUAAUUUCUCUCCAUUUCUUUAAUUAUUUAUUUUUCAUUAUCAUUAUUCUAUUAAUUUAUUAAUUUAUUUAUUUUAAAAUUCCAUCCUUAGACAAUUUAUCAAAAUCCCGACUCCCGAAUUUAAUUUCCCGUUUCAGAAUUUCUAAUGUUCACUAAUCAUUUAUUUUCGUUAUUAUCAUUCCGUUUAUUUAUUCAUUUUAAAAUUAUAUCUUUAAACAAUUUUUCGAAACUCUUAUCUCCAAACUUAAUUUCCUAUUUUCAAAAUUCUAAUUUUCACAUUUAUUUAUUUAACCAUCAUUUCGUUACUAUUAUUAUUAUUAUUUAUUUAUUUAUCUAUUUCUAAAAUUCCAUCCUUAAAUAAAUUUUUCAAAUUUCCGAUUUCGGAUAUUAAGUUCUGGGCUUCAAAAAUUCCACUAUUCAUUUUUUAUUCGUUUAAAUAUUAUUUCGUUAAUUAGCAUUAUUAUUCCAUAUUUAUUUAUUUAUCCAAUCAUUAUUAUUUUCGUUAUUUUACUCAUUUAUUUACUCGGUUGUUCGUUCAUUUAAAAUUCCAUUCCUAAGUAAUUCAUCAAAUUUCCAAUCCUUAAGUCCAAUUCCCAAUUUCCCAUACCCCUAACUUCCGCAAUUAUUUAUCCAACCAUUAUUACUUCGUCAUCAUUAUUCCAUUCAUUUAUUUAUUCACUUAUUCAUUUAUUUAAAAUUCCGUCUUUAAAUAGUUCCUCAAAAUUCCAAUUUCGAAAUUUAGUUCUCUAAAAUUCCAAUUCUCUAAUUUCCGAACUUAAUUUUCAAUUUCCCAUGCUCCAAUUCUCGUAUUUAUCUCGUUACUUACUAUUAUCAUUAUCACUAUUAUUUUAUUCAUUAUUUCUAAAAAUUCUGCCUUCGAAUGAUUUCCAAGAUUUCCAAUUUUUAUAAUUCAAUUUCCAUAGUUUCUACUUCUCAAAUGACUUUCAAUUUUGAUUUCUUUUAAAAUUUAAUUUCCAAGGUCCCAAUUUUUGUAAUUGAUUUUUUUUAAAAAUCCCGAACUCUCAAAUCAUUUUCAAAAUUCCAAUCUCUUUCAAAUUUAAUUUCUAAAAUUCUCAUUCUCACACUUAAUUUCUAAAAGUCUGAUCUUCAAAUAAACUCUAAAACUCCAAUUUUCAAGUAAUCUUCGAGACUCCAAUUUUUCAAAUAAAUUUCAAAAAUCCAAUUUUCUCUCAAAUAGUUUUAAUUUUACUCUAGUUUUCAAACAAUCUUCUGCUCCUCUUGAUUUUAAUUAGCAUGAAUGAAUUUUUCAUAAUUCCAGAAUAAUGGAAUCUGUGACAUUAAUUCAUGCAAAAUAAACGGGCUUUGCUGGGGGUCCUACAUAAGUGAUUUUAUGAUUGAUUGAUUGAUUGAUUUGAUUAUCACACAUGAUUAAUUGAUUCUGCUCUAUGACAUGCAUGAGAUUAUUCUUUUAAUUGUGUACUAACCCUCUUUCUUGAUAGCGCAUUGAUCGAUUGAUGCCAAGGUAUGCCCCGUUCUCACUUCGGUCGAUUCUUUAUUGAGUGUUUUGAUUGCCCCAUGUGCAUGAUCACCCUGAGUAUUCAUUGAUUUCCACAUCAAUUGUCACAUCAGCUUCAUUUUAUUAGUAGAGACCCGACUUUAGGGACUUAGAAGGGUGCUACGGUUCUUAUUGUACCUUCCCGAUAAGUAACCUGACCCCCGAACCCGAUCCGGUUUUUCGUAGGCCACCUUUUCCGAAUAAGGAGUCACACUUAGGGUUUUUCUUUCUUAUUUUGUUUACCCUUUUAAAAAUAAAACAAAAAUAAGUGGCGACUCCAAGUCAUUUUCUUAAUCAAUAAAAAUCAUUUUUCGAAAUCAAAAUCGAGCUCGCCUUCGAGUGGGAAACGCAUGAGCCGAAAUGCGGGGUCCACAAUUUAAUAUUAAAACUAUAAUUUAUUUAAUUCAAAUGUAUUCAAUAAUAUAAAAUAAAUUAUGAUGCAUAUAUGAAUUUUUAAUUUUUUUAUAUUUUUAUAUUUAAUUAUCAUAUAAAUGAUAUUAAAAAAAAUACUUGUUAAGAAAAUUAUAAAAGUGGUUUUUAUAUAUUAAUUAAUUAAAUUUCAAAAUAACAUUAUUUAUUUUUAAUAAUGAACUUUAACAUAUUUAUUAUUUACAUAUAUUAACAAAAGAGAAAAUAGUUGCACUUGUUUGUGUCUUCUGAGUAGUAGAAAGAUCAAGUUCUUUCAAAGAACAAAGGGAAAUAUGAUCAUACUUAGUGUGAAGGGUAUUAGAAUGGAUUGUAGGAUGAAUUGAGGUCAACGAUGGGAGCCAUAAGCUGGUAUUAACAUGAUUAGAGAUUGUAGAAUAUUCAGGAACAAUUGUAUGUUGAAGCAAAAGGAAACAUGUUUUCAUCAAAUGCAACAUGCCUAGAUAUGUAGAUCCUACCACUUGGAUCUAAACACUUGUAUCCUUUGUGCUUAUGACUGUAUCCAAAAAAUGUGCAAGGAACUAAACAAAAUUGCAUUUUAUGAGAAUUAUAUGGUCUCAAGUAUGGAAAACAUUGACAACCAAAUACCUUUAAGAAUGAGUAAAUAUAAUGGAUCAUUAUAUACAGUCAAGGAAUUUGAAAAAGACAAUUUAUAACUUUUUCCAAGUUGAUAGGCAUAACAAAAAUGAUCAUUUUCAUUCAUUGAAAACUUCAAAUUAAAAUUUGAAAGAACUUGUUUGACAGUAGAGAAAGUUGGGUAUCCUAAUUUCCUAUGCCACAAACUCAAAAUCGUAGAUGACUUAACAUUAUCAUCAUUAAGAUUGGAAGUAGGAAGGAUAGGAGAAUCUAGACCACAAUCUCCCAUUCUAUUAGAUUUAAGAGACAAGACUUGGUGAUCCUUAGAGUUAAUGAGGGAAAAGUGAUGUGAACUAGUUGAUAAAUAUGGUUGAGCCUUGAAUAGGUUGAACCGAUAUAACCCUUCAUGUAGUCUCCCUUUGAGCAAAGGUGUUCCCGUUGCUAGAUCCUUCACAAUGGAAAUAGAUGGAUGAAACUCAAAGAAUACAUUAUUUUCUUUAGCAAAUUGACUGACAUUUAUGAGAUUACGAGUAAUGUGGGGAACAUGUAGUAGGUUAGAUAAUGAAAAAACUUUAGGUGAAUCAGAAGAACAAAGUGAAGAAAAACCAGAAUGAGCAAUCGUCAAACUUGCACUAUUACCCACAUGGAUCUUAUUUCUUCUAUGAUACUCAGAACCAAAAUUCAGAUUGCUAUGGUCAUUUGUAACAUGAUUUGUUGCUCUUGAAUCUAGAAACUAGUUGUCAUUAUUGAGCAAUUCCGAAGUGGUUAACAUUGUAGUCAUCGAACCUGUGUUUUUACCAACAUUGUUGUUUGCAUAGACUGAAUCAUUUGUGAACCCACAAAAAUUUGGGUCAAAACGAUGGUAACAUUUUUGGACAGUGUGUCCAAAUUUUCCACACAACUAACAUUGUGGCUUAGAACCACCAAUCUAUGAAUGACCUUUUCCACAACCAGCAUGACCUCAUCAUCUAUUAUUUUGAAAUUGUUGUGCUCUCUGGUAGGAUUGAGAAGCUCUCUGAUUAAAACUUUGAAUUCCAUUGUUGAAUCAUUUCUGUUGAUUUUGAAAAACAAGAUUCAUGGAUGGUUGGGAUCCGUCAGAGUUCACUGAAUGCUACUUGAUUUGACUUUCUUAAGCUAGUAGCAACCCUCAUACAUUUUCCAAAGAUGAGAAUCAACUCUGGCAAUAAUAACUGAAACCAUAGAAUUGUAUUCAAUGCCUAGACCAACAAGAAUAUAGAGAAUCUGAUCUUCUUUCAAGAUUUGAUGCCUAGUUGAAGCAAGAGUAUCAAAAUACGUUUUCAUUUUGAGAAGAUAUUCUCUCAUUAGUAAGCCCGAUUUCUUCGAACUCUAGAUCUGCAAUUUGUAUUGUAUAAUCUUGGCUUUGCAUAGUAUUGCAAAGACUUUGUCAAGGGUUCUCUAAAUAUCAUUAGCAGUGUUGCAACCUACCAUUUGUAGUAGAAUACUCUCACUCAUUGAAGAUAGAAGCCAAGAGACUAAGUAGUUGAUCUUGUCUCUGCCAAGUCACAUACUCAAGAUUCAUCGACUGCAGACUUCCAUUGACACUAGAUGUUAUCUCAGAUGGACAAAUAGAGGUGUCAUAAAUAAAACCCUUUAAACCGAAGCCUCGAAUCGCAACGAGAGCUUGUUGUUUCUAGAUGAGAAAAUUUUCAUGUAUGAGUUGUACCGUAACUAGAUGACUUGAAGGACCGAUGACAGGAUUGAGAGAAAAUGAAGAAUCAUAUGAGGUUUCUAGUGAAGUUGCCAUUGUAGAGCUCUGAGUCGAAAGCUCUGUUACCAUAUGAGAUAAACAAAUGAUAAAAAUAGAGGAUAAGAAUUAAGGAUAAAACGGGCAAAGAUGCCCACUCUCUUUCUCAGUAUCUCUUAUUUUAUUAAGAGCAUGAACCAAGAAUUUUAUACAACAAGAAGAACCAACCCUAACAACCCAACCUAUUAUUGAAUGCCACAUGGCACAACAUCAAGUUACUUAUUAAAAUAAGAUACAACAUCAACCCUAACAAAUUAUUUAUUUAUUUAUAUAAUUGAAUUUACUUAUUAAAGUAAAGUUAACAACAUCAAAAACAUGUUAUUAAUAUAUCAAGUUCCCAAAUAAAUAUUUAUUUUAUAAAAUAUUAAAUAACAAUUUUUAAAAAUCAUUUUCAAAUAUUAUUUUAAAAAAUAAUUACUAAAUAGGACCUAAAUAUCUCCUUUCAAAAUGUGGCUUUCAAUUCUAAAAGUAUCAUAGUGGAAAUUUCUUACUUGAUAUUAAAGAUAUAAUAAAAUUAUAAAUAACAAACAUUAUAUUUCUAAACAUCUCAAAAUUUUCCAUUUUUCUAUUAAUAUUGCAGACUGCAUAAGUAAUAACUACAAUAACAUCAAAUGAAGUAUAAGUAGCACUUGACAUAAGAUUUAUUGUUGUGUAACAUCAGGAUUAUAAAGACUUUUAGCUCAAAUAAUCUUUUUAAUCAUAUAUAUUAGACAUAUAUGAUAAUCAUAAUUCUAUUUUCCAUUUUUAUUCAAAAAAAGAAAAAAGAAAAAUAAGAACUUUUUGCUAAUUAAUUAUAUAAUAAGUAGAAUUUUUUUAAAUGAUUUCUCAAUGAUGUGUCUAUGAGUUGCAAUAAUUUUUUGAUAUUUAUAUACAAGACUCUAAUUUUAUUAGUUUAGUACACAUGAAUAUGACACGAGUGACUUAUGAGUGUAAUUUCCUAUUUUUAUUUUGAGUAUAAAUUAUUUUAAAUUUUUUUUCUAAUAAAAUUUCGGAAAUUAAAAAAGUAAAAAUUUAUCAUGAACAUGAUUUAAAAAAUUUUAAUUUAUAAUUUUUUAAUAAUAAAAAGAAAAAUGCCAUCGAAAAGCGCUUAAAUUAUAUUUAGUAGGCUUCUUUUAUUCAGACUGGAGAGCGUAAACACAAAGCCUUUCCAGUGGUCCGACAACAAAGGCAUGUACGCGUAGUUAAGGGUAGGCGGUAUUCUCCCAAUUGCCAUCAGACUGGUACAUUACUUAACCAUACACGCUACUCCAAGGUUGCUAUUAUCAACUAGUUUUGGUCAGCACACAUCUAUAGCCAGUGACAGUGAUGUCAUCGACUAGCAAGUUUGUUGUCGGAAACCAAGACGCUCAUUUUUGAGGUCAAACUCCACAUAAUAAUCCACGUGCUGAUGAUUCCCCAGAAUAAUAGACGGUCCCGGAGUGAAUUCCAAAGUGUUGGUGCCUGCAUCAGUGACGAAGGGGAAACAAGCGAAGCUUAUCUCAGGAAAAGACAUAAAAUAAUUCUUUCCUGGUACCACCAUAUUUGCGCCACCGCUAAAUUGGUAAAUUAAGUCGGGGAUUUUUAUGGAUUUGUGGCCUGUGAAAUUAUAACAAGGUGUGAAACCGGACAGGUUUUCUAGCUCAAGAGAUCUCCUAUACUUGGACAUCUGCUUUUUCAACUCAUUUGUCACUAUCUUAAAAACCGGUCGUGUCAUGUAUCCAUACGCGAAACCAGAAUCUAUCAUGAGACCACCUCGACCGUCGGAUCCUGGAGCCAGAUACUUGCUUGGAAUCCUGAGGAGCUUGUUCCCGAUCCUGAUAUCUUUGACACCCAAGUAGUAGUAAACCGGGUAGUCAGGAGGAUUCUUGAGAAAGGGAGCAUAGGAAAGUCCUUUGGUUUCACCAUCACUGUAGUCCAAAAUCAACUUGCUGCUGUUCCGGGUGUCAUCGUGAUCGUGCGAAUUGAGACAGUAAGCGAACUUCUUCACACCCAUCUGCAUCGGCAACGAGAACAUUGUGCGACCGAACCCCGCAAGUGCGUCAGAAGUAGGUUCAUGAGCAGCGGAUGUUGUACACCCAACAAGAAAUUUAUGAAUUGUUUUCCCGGGAAAGUUGAGGUUUUCUAAUAGAAAAAACCCAGAUGCUGAUCCUGUGCCAUACUGAAGACUGUAUUGUGGGCAAGCGUGGGAGCAAUUUUUGGAAUUGCCAUUGCAGCGAGGGCACCCGAGGGAACAUUUGGGGUUUCUGCACUCCAAGAUCUUAUAAGACGACGAAAGUUUGGGAUUAAAGAUGGGGACCUUUUUGGGGUCUGAAAAAGAACAGUUGGUGCAUGUAUAGUGAGUUGUACACGGGGCCCAUACUACUUGACUUCCUGUGUCCACCAGGAAGGGGAGUUUUUGUGGAGGAGUGCCGAAGCUGAGAGGGAUGCUGUGACCUCCAUAACUAUGAGGAAAAAGAGAAAUUUGUGUGAGAGGGCUGGCCUUCCCAUGUUUCAAUUGAUGGGCUCUGGACAAGGAUGAAAUGCAAGGUGUUGGAGAAAUAGCAAGGGUUCGAUAGAUGGCUUGUUUGUAAAUGUUGAUGUUAGAGGGAUGGUAAUGGUGGCAGGUGUGUUAUCUUUGGAGGAAGAUGCCAAGAAAAGGAAAGAGAAGAAAGUAAAGACAGAGAAAAGCAAAGAAGUAGAAGAAGCCAUGGCUGUGUAGUUUCAGACGCACACACCAUGGGAAGUGGUAGAGAGAGUAUUUAUAUAGACAAUGACAUGCAUGGUUUAUAUGUAGUUAUUCUAAAAUCCAUUGUCAAUUUUCUUCAUUUUGCAGUAUGAUAUGGAUUUGAUUGAGCAAAGAUUUUAUUGCCUCUUCCUGACGAAGACAGCCACGACAGCCGCGGUUACCUACAAAAGCAUUCCAGCUGGCGUGAAUUGCAAUUAUCAACAGAAUAUUUGUCUUUUUCCUUUUAUUAGGUUUCUUUCUUCAAUCUUUUUAAACACCAUGUCUUUUGUGUGUGGUGGGGAGGGGUCACAGCUUCAAAUAAUGUAGUUUACUGUUCCUUUUGUGGCUGGAUAUGUUUUCUUUGUGAGGAGACUGGUUGGUACGUCAACUCCCCUUUAACCUAAUGGAAAAAUAAAAAAUAAAAAAUCAAAGAGUUAGAUUUCAACAGAACAUUUACAAAAAAGUAAAAUAAAACAUCAAUAUUGAGAAAGUGAUAAAUUUGUAAUAGAUAAUUUACAUCUAAAAAUUGUUAUUAAUUAAUUGAGAAUUAGGAAUAAUUUUUUUUCCACUUUGAUGUGAAGUACACCCUAAACCAUAUAAGAAUGGACAAAUUAUUUGAUAAAAGUUAAAAUAAUUAUAAAGAUCGAUAAAAUCAAAGAAAAAUAAGUUUUUAUCUACUUCACAAAUAAUAUAAAUGCACCGUCGAUGUUAUUAAAUUUAUUAAAAAUUUAAAAAUAAAUCUCAUACUAAAAACAUAACUAAUCCUUCAGAACUUAAAGAUUUCCUACCCUUCUUAAUAGUUUUAUUGCUUUUGAAUUUUAAUAUUAUAUAAUGAAUAUUGGAAAAUUGAAUAACAAGUUGUAAAUUUAUUUUAUUUUUUUAAUUUCUUUAAGCAAAUAUUUUUUUAAGACUUAUAAUCUCUGUUUAUUUCUCAGUUUUAUUAAUUUAUGUUGCAUUUUUUUGAAAAAAAAAAAAUCUAUAUUUUCAUAAUUAUAGCACCGACAAAGAAUAUCAAAUAAAUUUGUACCUACCUAAGUGUUUUUAUAAUUUGCUUCCAAAAGUAGUAAUCAUACUUUACAUUUGACAUUGAUAGUUUCAAUCACAUAAUCUAGUUUUAGUUGUUUAAUCUAAAAAUGUUUUCCAACAUUUGGGUCAUUGAAUCAAAAAAUAUAUGGCAUGGGCACUACCAAUAUGAUAUAGACCACCACCAAUGUUUUAUUACAUAGGAUACCACUGGGACCACAUGUGUUCACCUCCACCAAAAUUGGUUUAUUAUCUAAGACUAUAAAGAAGUGGAGGAAGAGAAUAUUCUGAUUUGGUCACCUCAUAAAAAGUUGAUUGAAGUAGAAAAUCUGAAGAAAAUUUGAAGGCAGUCCACAUUUUUUCGGCACCAAGUAUUCAUUUUGUGGAUAAAAGAAAUUAACAAAUUUUAAAUUUAGAAAAAAUAACAGGCCUAUACCUACCUCUUAGUAGUGCCUUAAAUUUAAACUAUAAUUUAAAUAUUUUCUAUUAAUUUUAUUGUUGAAAAUGUAAAUAGACCAAAAAUUCUAGCUUUGUGAUUAUGUUAAAUUACCAAUUUUCCUAAUAAAUAUGUAAACUAUAAAGAGAUGGUCAAAAGACUUCCAACCCAUACCCAUAAGUAGAGAAAUAAAUAUAUAAAUUAUAGAUAGGAGGCUUGAAUACAACUUAAUAGCAUAUUGAAUUAUCAAUUUUCCUAAAAUAUUAAUCAUUUAGGAUUUGAGUUUAUAAUAUAUACCAUGCUUUUAACUUUUAUAAACUUGUGUGUGAUCAUAGAAUGAAAUAUCUACAUGUGAGUGACUUUUAUUUUUUUUUAACCAAAAUAUUGCUUAUCAAUUUAUUACAUUAUAAUUACUCUUUUGGUUCCAAAGAAGUCUCCUUGGUUGUGAUAAUCUUAAUAUCUAACUCCAUUUUUCCCUAAUUAAAGUACACAUCAAACUUGUGAGGGAAGAGUGCAGUCUCUAUGAGAGGGCUGCUCUUGCGGCCGUAUUUGAAGUGAUGAACUCUGGUUAAUGGCCUAAAGGCGAGGUUAUGGUUCAGUUCUGAAGAUGGUUCGUGGGUGAAUAAUGGUGUCAGAGGGAUACUAAUGGUGGAGGGGCCGGUUUCUCUUCUUUGGAUGAAGAUGAUAAGCAAAGGAGAGAGAAGAGAGUAAAAAACAUGACAAAGCCAAGAAGAAGAAGCAAUAGCUCUGACCUUUUGUUGCCUGAUAAUUAAAGUCCCACUAACAAAAGCUAGCACAAGGGAAUCACCAUCCCCACUUUCUGUGGACGCAGUACUACCUCACGAAUCACAAUAUGAUAUCCACCUUCCCACAUUUUUUUGUAUCAAUAUUGACGUCAGCUUCAUGUCAUGUUGAAGAUGCAACAAAGUUUAUAUAUGGUUAUAGCUGCUAAGCAUGCUUGGCAAGCUUUAGCCCUAUUUGCCAAUGAGCCUUCAGACAGAGAGAUGGGCGCACGUCAAAAUAGGCUACAGAUUUUCAAUUCUUUUAGCCAUGCAUUUCAGAACCGUGCAGAUUGCGGUAGACAACAUUAGCCAUCAGUUUCCCAUAUAAAUGGAUGUCAUCCUCACAUCAAUUCUUCUUGUUCUUUGUGAUUCCCACUAUUAGAACAACAUGGCAUGAGUAUUCCUACAACUGAUCAAUAUGAAUGGACAAUGGAAUUUUGAAUAAUGAUAAGAGAUGUUCAGGUGCGGUCCCAACUAGACUAGUAAUGCUUGUAUGAGUGUAAACCAUUUGGGUCUCGACGUCUACUCACUACCUCACGUGGAUCACGAUUGUUGAAAUGCAUAUUUUUUGUGAGCUUCAUGUUUGGGGUUAGCCCUUUUAGUUAUUUUUUAAUUGAAGUCAUUUUAAAAAUAAUAUUAAGAUAAAUUCUAAAAGUGUAAAGUUGUUUCUUUAAUAUAGAUCACAUUAAACUCUAAUAUUUUAAAAAAAUAUGUUGUAUAUUUCUAGCACUACACGUCACGACAUAAUUUGCAACCCCCGGGACCCAGCAUUGGAUAUAUGGGGAAAGAACAACAUUACAUUGACCCCACAUCUCACUUCCAGUGGCUCACAAGCCGCCACCUAUCUUCCUUUCGAUGUGGAUCUCCUUCUGCCCUACAAAGAAUAUUGGAAUUUGAAAAGCACCCAAAGUCAUUUAAAAAAAUAUUUCUAAAUCUACAAUAUUUUGAGUUAAUCUAAUUGAAAGUUGUUUUUUAGAAAAACAAUUUUAGUAAAAUUUUAAAGUUAAUUUUUGAAAAAAUAAUUUUCUUAUUGACACUGAAAUUAUCUUUUUGAAAAGGUAACUAAAAUAUCCUAAAUCUGAAAAUAAUUUUUAAAUGUCAUACUUUAAUAAAUAUUUUUUUAGAGAAAAAUAAUAUUUUUGUUAAACAAUAUAUACAAUAAGCUACCUCAUGUGUCAGAAAUGAUCCCUAAAACAAAUGCCACAUGCUGCUCGGGAUGAGCGGAGGAAACAUGGCAUCGCGGAGGAUCACAGCUCCCCGCUCCUUAUGUUGCGGACAAAGCCAAAGCGAUUGAUUAUAGAGGCAACGUAGUGGUUUAGUAGAGGAGCGACCACUACCAAAAGUAGAAAUGUGAAUAUCUGAUGCAACGCCUCCCUCUUAUCCCUCUAGUGCUGCCCUUCUCACAUCAAGUAUUUUCGUUCCUGGGCCAUCCAUUUUCCAUAUCGGAAUAAUAACCUGUUGUAGACCCCCAUUUGGGGCUCAUUCCUUUGCAUCUCUGCAGGGUAUGAUUCUUUGCAGGUGGAGGGCUCCCAAGGAGCCACGUGUCGCCUCGCGGUUGGUGGCCAUAGAAACAGAUGGUGGAAUUGAGGAGCGAGUGAGAGUUUGACAUGUGGCAUGGAGAUAUUCUGGCCGUUAGUGAGGAGCGUAUAUUUUCUGUUAGAGGGGAUUUUUGCAGAGGGGGGUCGGCUGGCCAGAGGUAGGGUGCUUUUCAGAAGCUGCUGCAGGGUAGUGGUGGUCGGGGAGCGUCUCCUGGAGGUUUAGAGGCUGUAGAGAACUAGGGUCUCCGGGGGGGGCUGGUAAAAGAGGAGAGAAGAACAGAGGUGUAAAAGAGGGAAAAGCUAAGAAAAACAGAGGAAAAGCCAGGGAGGAACAGAGAGAGAUUUUUGGGAGAGGAAGGAUUCGAGAGUGUGUUUUUCCAGGAGAGUGAGAAGGAGAGGUGAUGUUUGGGCGCUGCUGGAUUUUACAGAGGUAUCUUUAGAGAGGAUUCCUUGGCUUAAAAGGGGUUUUCCUUGCAGGAGACAAAGGAUGAAUGCGAUUUUGAGCAAAUUUCGGCAUUGGCGACAUGAAUGGGCUUAUAUAGCUGUCAAUAUUCAAGAGUUCUUGACGUUGGUGGGGUUUUUGAGGUCAAGCUACAGAUCUGAUUUGAAUGAUAAACGCAAAUGAGAGUUUGUUCCAUUGAGACUUGGUAUCCAUGCUGUCUAAACAUUGAAUCAGAAAUGGGCAGAGAGAUUAUUUUGAAAGAAAUAGAUUAAGGAGAAGGAUUCUAGUGAGGGUCCCCAUACCAUGUCUUGAUACCGGUUCAUGCAUAUCAUUAUUUAUCAUACCAGUGGCAAAUGUCAAUAUCCCAGAGGAAGAAGAGAGUACACUGAUUGAAGAAAUGUUGGUUCUUAAGGGAAUGAAAGACCCACUCUCGCUCUUGUAUUCUUUUGGCUAGACGAAUCCACUAGUAAACUGGUGGAUGAUGAAGACAGAUUGAUGGUUGAGAACCAUACCUCCAGUGUGGGCGCAUGCGAAUCUUGCCCGCUGCUGUUAGUGCGUUCCAGAUCCGGAAAGUCUUCAUAAAGGCCCCGCAUGGAUUUUAUGAGUUUAUGGAUGUACCCUUGCAGCUACAGCAUGUGCUUGCCCUACAUCUAGAGGAGCAUCCAGGGUCGAUUUCAGAUGGAUCCUUAGAGCACAAUCUAGAAGUAACUAUCGCAAAGGAUACAUGCACACAUCCUGGCGCUUUUAGAGAAUUGCAUAUACGUUGUGGGCAGCCAAAUGGUGCAAGGGCCCCAUCCUCUCAAGUGGUCAAAAACUGAAGAUGCCACGUAUUCCCGGAUCAUCAGAAGCUCCUAAGACGAACUGAAUGAUCUAGAGGAGGCUAUUCAACCUGAUUUAACUGGAAAUAAAUCAUCAAAGGAAUCAACUCGAGAUGGUCAUGCGUAGAAUGCAAAGAAUAGACAGAUCAGAUCCUCAAGGCGACCGUGGUCAUUCGUGGUGGCGUUCUGGCACAGAAUAGGAAUACCAGAUUGCAUUAUUUUGGGAGAUAGUAAAUGGUACAAAGGCUGUUCAUCCCAUCUGGAGGCGAAAGUAUUAAAAAAGGCAUGCAAAUUAUUCAAUGGCUGAGAAAGCGGCAGGUUCAAUAGCAGAGGAUAUGAUCGUCACCUACAUAAGGAAGUCAAAUGGGCCAAAGGGAAAUUUGAGGCAACUGGUCAUUCAAACAGUGCAUUCAUAAAAAUCACACCUGUGAGGGACCUCAGUUGCGAGCAUGUUUAGAAUCCUUUCCAGAAACUGUGUGAUCAUUUAAUGUGAUUUAUACCCAAGAUUUGCCUCUGGACUUUCAUGACGGAGAUAUCAUAGCGCCACGGGUUUUAGAUUAGCUGCCAAUGGCUAGUUGGAGGAGUAUAGGAUUACUUUUAAAGUCCUCAGGGGACUUGAAGAAUUUCCGAGAUUCGCAUGCAACCGUGGCUGUUGACUCACCUGAAAUCACAGCUGUUCAGUCUUCUCAAUGGAUCUCCAAGCCACGAGUUCAAGGUUAGGAGACAAAUAAAGUCAUCGUUUUCACUGAAGUUGGUGUUCAUUUGGCAUCUGAGGACAUAGCUUAAACAAUUGGGAAAUCCAUCGUCAGCAACUGUUUUGGGAAUGGAGACUGAGACCUCACCCAGAUCCCCAGGGGAUGUGACUAUACUGACUCGUUUGCACUCCAGACCCGUUCCCUCUCUCUAGCAUGGCAUGCAUGGCCACCUUUGGGCCACGUGUUCUCUCUUCUUAUUUCCUUAUUCUUUGAUUUUUGAAAUUAACUACCCCAAAUCUCAUGUGAUAAAUUCUUUUACGUUUUGGUUUUCAAAUAGUCUCAAUUAUCCCAUCCUUCUUCCUUAGCAUUUUUCUUUAAGUUUCAAAACCCCAUUUUCAAUAAAACGUUGCUGCCAUUUUUCUUCGGCAUGCAAUUUUGACAACUUCCAUGAUUUUAAAACGUUUUGAAAUAAACAUGAAUUCAAUUUUGUAAUUCCAAUUAAUGGAACUUAUGAAAUUAAUUCAUGCAAAAUAAACGGGCUUUGGUGGGGGGCCCGACAUAUGUGACUUCAUGAUUGACUGACUGAUUGAUUGAUUUGACUGCCAUGCAUAAUUGAUUUAUUCUGAUCCGUGACAUGCAUGAGAUUAUUUCUUAACUGUGCUCUAACCCUAUUUCUUGAUAGCGCAUGGCGGCUCGUCACCUAGGUACGUGUCCAGUCCCAUUCUUGUAAUUCUCUAUGCAAGUACUGAUUCUCAUAUGUGCGAUCAUGAUGAGUAUUCAAUGAUUUCAUCAUCAAUGCCACGUCAGCCUCAUCUUANNNNNNNNNNNNNNNNNNNNNNNNNNNNNNNNNNNNNNNNNNNNNNNNNNNNNNNNNNNNNNNNNNNNNNNNNNNNNNNNNNNNNNNNNNNNNNNNNNNNCAUGCAAAAUAAACGGGCUUUGGUGGGGGGCCCGACAUAUGUGACUUCAUGAUUGACUGACUGAUUGAUUGAUUUGACUGCCAUGCAUAAUUGAUUUAUUCUGAUCCGUGACAUGCAUGAGAUUAUUUCUUAACUGUGCUCUAACCCUAUUUCUUGAUAGCGCAUGGCGGCUCGUCACCUAGGUACGUGUCCACUCCCAUUCUUGUAAUUCUCUAUGCAUGUACUGAUUCUCAUAUGUGCGAUCAUGCUGAGUAUUCAUUGAUUUCCUCAUCAUUGCCACGUCAGCUUCAUCUUAUUAGUAGAGACCCGACUUUAGGGACUUAGAAGGGUGCUACGGUCUUUACCGUACCUUCCCGAUAAGUAACCUGACCCCCGAACCCGAUCCGGUUUUCAUAGACCGCCUUUUUUAAAAUAUGGAGUCACACUUAGGGUUUUUCUUUCUUAUUUUGUUUACCCUUUAAAAAUAAAACAAAAAUAAGUGGCGACUCCAAGUCAUUUUCAAAUAAUCAAUAAAAAUCAAUUUUUCAAAUAAUAAAAAUCGAGCUCGCCAUCGAGUGGGAAACGCAUUGAGCCGAAAAUGCGGGGUCCACACCUGUCAAUUCAUAAAGUUGCCUACUUUUUCUCUCCUGCCUCCUGGACAUUCUAACCUCAACUAGAAAGUUGGAUUUUAUUUGUGGCUUUUUUUAUUUUUUAAAUUUGGAGUCAUUAUUGGAGUAAGAUGUCCAAGUUAGAUGGUCUUGUCAUUAUAUUUAUGUAUGUUACCUUACAGGUACUUGGAAUCUACACCACUUUAUGUCCUAAAAUUUUGUGCCCUAAAAAGUUUUAGCAUAUACCAUAUUUGCAUACCAAUUAAAUAUCAUGUCGUUUUGCACAUACAAGACUUUAUUGAUCAACUCCGACCUCCAACUCAUGUAAACAUGGAUAGAUCCAUCCAACCAAUCGACAAGGUAGAAAAUUUUAUUAUAAGGGUAAAACAGAAAAAUCAUAAAUCAUAAUAAUAUUAAAUAUAAUUUCAGAUUUUAGUAUCAUUCAAUAAAACAAGUAUAUUUAUUAAUAUCAAUUUAUAUAAUUUUUUAUAAUAUAUCAAAUUAAAUAACAUAAACAAAUAAACUUUUGAUAUUAUGGUGAUUAUUCCAUCAUUAAGUUAAGCCAUAGGAUCAAAUCAUCAAACUUUGACAUAUAAAAUGUUGUCAUAAAUCUAGUUAGGCCACAAAUUUCUUUUACAUUUGUUUUUCAAGAUUACUAAUAAAUUUUUAAAAAUAAAAAACAUUUCUUUCUUUUUCCUCUUUUAUCAUGUUAAUAAAGAAAAAAAAUAUUUUCAAUUCAAUUUCUCCUCUUAUUGUAACAAAGGGAAAUAAAAUUUAUUAUUUUAUUAAUAUUUAAUUUCAGAUAUGAGAAUAUUAGUGAGCUUUGAGUAUUAUAUGAAAUUUCAAAUAUAUUGUGAAUCCAAGAAUUAAAAUUGAAUUAUUGUAAUUUUCAAUCAAAAUUCAUUAUAACUUACUAGUUCACUAAUCUUAGAGAUGAAUGGGACUUUCUAUGCAUAUGUAUUUACAUGUAAAAAGAGUUACAUCAUCUUUUAUCAAUGUGGAUGCAGCUGCCUAAUUUUAAAAUUCAAUGGGUUGUCAUUAUCACAUCAAUUAUUCUUCUUUCUCAUGCACCCCACAAAACAAGAAACAAUAUAAUUUGCCUCAAGAAACAACAUAUUUGAAAUUAUAUGGAAUUUAAAAUAUAUUGUGAAUCCAAUAAUUAAAAUUGAAUUAUUAUAAUUUCCAAUCAAAAUUCAUUAUAUUCACUACUUCGCUAAUCUUAGGAACGAAUAAGACAUUUCAUGCAUAUGUACUUACAUAUAAAAAGAGUUGUAUCAUCCUCCACAUGUGUGUGGAUGCGAUUGCCUAAUCUCCACAUAAUUUUUAAAUUCUUGUUAUUGUCACAUCAAUUAUUCUUCCUUUUCAUGCACUUACAAAGCAACAAAUAUCAUAAUUUGCCUUCGUCCACCUACUCACUGAAGUGCAACUUUUUUUUUUUCCUUUUUAUUUUUGUGUGCUUUAUUUCGUACAAAGGGCAAAAAUAUCAUGAUGAGGACGAAAAUAUUGUGUCCAAAAUGGCUUAGAGGGAAAAAAAUCAUUGAAUUAGGCCCAACUUGCGUAUUAAAUAAUACCUUAAGUUUUACAAUCUCUCAAAGUUUCCAUAUAUGAUUGAGUUCUUAUUUAUAUAAAAUGUAAAAAUCUCAUAUAUGAUAAGCAAUCAACUUAUUAUAUAUUAUAUAUGUGAUUAUAAUUGUUUAUAUAUAUAAUUAUUAUAUGAAUAUUUUUAUAUAUUAUAAUAUAUUUUAUAAAUUAAUAAAAAUAAAAUUAUUAUAAAUUAAUUAAUUUUAAAUAAUAAAAAAAUUGUAUCAAAAUAUUUAUCAAUAUUUUUAUGAUAUAUUCGAUAUAUCUAUAAAAUUCAAGUAUUAUAUAUAUAUGUGGUUAUUAAUAUUUUCAUCAUUAGUUUUAGCUUAUCCUAGUGCCUUAAAUAGGAUGCUUGAUUUUAUUUGUUUUUCAAUUCAACAAUGAAAUAAAAAUAAAAAUAUAAAAGAAUUCAAGUUCUUUUUUAAAAUAAAAAAUUUAAAUAUAAUAAAGAUUACUCAAAAUUAUGAUUAUAUUUAGGAAAUGUUUUUAAAAAUAGUUCUAAAAAAAUAAUCUUUGAUAAUUAUUUUUUAAAAUUAUUUUAUGAUGUUUUUAUAAGAAAAGUUUGUUUGAGGAUAUUUGAAAUACUGUAAACUUAUCUUUUAUAUUUUUAAAACAAUAUUUAUAUGUAAUAAUUUAUUUAUUUAAUCAUUCUUUAUAUUUAUAUAAAUACUUAUUAAAAUCAUUACAAAAAUGUAAGUGAAAAUAAGUAAAAACAAGUAAAAUAUGUUAUAAAAAAACAUCUUAUUUUAUAUUUUUUAAAAUUGAAUUUUUUUUUCAUUUUUUGCUAUCAAAUGUAAUAUGUUUUCCUCUUUUUGGUACUUCAAAACAUAAAAUUAUUUUCGAAAACAAAACAUAUCCUCUACAUUUCAAAGUUUUCAAAUUUUUCCUAAAAGGAUAAAUUUGAAAAAGCAUAUACAAAAAUUUUAUUUAAUAUAAUCCUAUUUUUUAUAAUUUCCUUUCCACUUGUCAUUGUGGCUUCCAAUUUUAGUCACAAUUAUGAACUGUAAGAGGCAAUUGAAUUCAUGCACACGUACUAUUUUAUCCAACAUUAACUUUUAGAAAUAUUUGAUUAAAAUAAUGAAAUAAUACCAAUAUUUGGAAAAAUAAUUUUUAUAGUUGGACAUUGCUUCUUCAACUCAGCUGCCACCAUAUUAAAAACCGGUCUUGUCAUGCAUCCGAAGCCGAAACCUGAGCCAGAUACUUGUGUGGGAUCCUCAGGAGCUUCUCGCCGAUCAUGAUAUCUGUGACACAGUGACACCUAUGUAGUAAUACACAGGAAAUUAGUCAUCUGGGUUCUUGAGAAAGGGAGUGUAGCUAAGUCCUUCGGUUUCGCCAUCACGGUAAUCCAACAUCAACACGACAUUUUUCGGGGUUUCGUCGAAGUCGUGAGAAUUGAGACAGCAAGCGAACAGAGACGUAAGCAGAGUAUAUAUAGCAUCGAGUCAUUCCCAUCUCCUCCCCAUUCUUAUCAUUUUCUUAUUCAAUGAGUGUCAUUUGCACAUCCAUUCUUGUUGUUCUUAUACAACCCAUAAAACAUCAUCGUCAACGCAUUAUAUGACCCGCAUUAAAUGUAUAAUAUUUAUAAAUUGAAAAAUAUAUAUUUUUAAACUUUUAUAUUAAUUUUUACCCCCUUUUUUUUAUAGGAUUUUGCUAUUAAUGACUGUCACUUAUCAAUUUCCUUCAUAAACAACACAGCAUAAAAAAUCUUGUUAAUUUUAUAUAAAAUUACACCCCAUACAAUUAUAAGCCUAAUAAAUCCACAAAUCAUUUUUUUUUGUAUAAAUUUAUAUCACAUACAACUUUAAACCUAAUAAAUCAUCCAACGAUUUUAACAAGAAAAUAAAUUUACACAAUAACACAUUUACAUAAACCAAUAAAAAUAAAACUAAAUAAAAGUGAAAAAUAAAAUAUGUACCAAAACAAGCCUAUAAUAAACAUAAUGUUCCAUUUGAGUCUCAUUUUUAUUUGUGAGAUUGAACCUUCCACAUGUCAUGAAUGAACCAAUAAAAAUAAAAUUAAAUAAAAAUGGGAAAUAAAAUGUGUACCAAACAAACCUAUAAUAAGUCUAAUGUCCCAUUUACAACAUUUUUAAGUCUUAUUUUUUUUCAUGAAAUUUAACUUUCCACAUAUCAAGAAUGUGUGCUCAACCAAUCGAUAGGAGUAGUGGUGAAUAGUAUCACGCAAAACAAAAAUGAACCAAAAAGUAAAUAUCCAAAAAUGUAUAAAGCUUUUCAAUAAGCCCCAAAACAAACUUCAAAUCAAUCUAAUAAAUUUCAUUAAUAAAAUAGACCAAAUUAGCAAAUGUAGUACAACAAAUCUAUUUUUCAAAUUAAUAACCAAAAUAUAAGGACAAACCUAAAUAUAACAAAUCAAAAUAAAUCAAAUUAGAGCUAAAUUUAAUAUAGUAUAAUCCAAACUUAAUUUAAUAAGCAAACUCAAGUCCACUACUAAAACCAAACUCAAUUUAAUAUGCAAAGCCUAAAAUGACAUCUAAAUAUAUACCAUAAUUUUCUAAUAUCUAAAUUCAAUAAUUCAAAUGAGUAAAACUCAUAUCAAUUAUUGACUCAUGUAACAAAUUUCACCAACAAGAAAUGAGCUCAAAUUCCAUGUUAAUUAAUAAGUCCAAAAUAUAAAAAAUCAAAAUAAAUUCAAUUAGAACUAAAUUUAAUAUCUCAUAAAUAAUGCAAAAUAAACUAUUACUCAAGUAAUAAAAAAAAAAUUGCAAGCCAAAAAUCCAAACAUAAUAGUAAUGAAUAACAAUAAUAUAUAUAAACCAACCAUAAAUCCGAUCAAAGAUUCUAAUAGCACAAUAUCCAUAGAUAAAUCCAAAUUGAAUUACACAAACAUGCCCACAAUCAGAUACAAUUAAAGUAAAAGGAAAUUUAACCAUUUUUUAAGAACCUAUGAAUGACCUGAGUUGCUAGCCGGCAAUGGCGGCAGUGGCUGCUGGUAGUGAAGGGUGGUGGAUGGAGAGAGAAAAUGGGUAUGAUGAGAUGAGAGAAGAAAAAGGAAAGAAGAAAGAAAAGGGAAAUAAAUGAAAAAAAAAUGAGAAGGAAGGAAGAGAAGGGUGUUUGGAUGGAGAGAUAAUGAGGGAAAUGAAGAAAAGAAAGGGGAGUGACGGAUAGGGAGAGAAGAAAAUAAAGGAAAGGAAAAAAUGGAAGAAGAAAAGAAGAAAAAAAGAGAGAAAAAAAAAAGAGUGGGGGGAAGAGUCUUCUGGCCGUGGGAAUGGGAUGAGGGAGGAAGAAGAAGAGAAAGAAAAGAAAAGGGAGGAAAAUGGGGGAAAGAAGGAAGAAAAAAAAGAGGAAAAAUGAAAAAGAAAAUGGAGGAGAAGAAAGAGACGGGAGGGGAAUGUGCAGGAGGUUAGUUGUGGGAACGAGGGGUACGGACAAGAGAGGGAAAUGAGGGAGUGACUGGGUGGAGUAAGCGGGAAAAAAGGGAAAGGAAGACGAAUAUAAAAUAAAAUAAAUAAUAAUAAUAAUAAUUUAAAAUAUAUAAAUGGAUUGAAACAUUCAUAUGUAAUUGGGUUUGAAUUUUAAGAAUAAAAUUAAAUUUAUAAUUAAUAUAAAAAUAAAUUCAAAACAAAUUUUAAGAUUUAUAGACUUCUUAUUUUAAAAAUAUUAAUGUGUAAAAUUGUUAUAUAUGUAAUAUCGAUAAAUAAGAAACUCAAAAUAUGAUAAAAUAAUAAAUAAAGCAUUAUACUUUAUUUCCAAACAUAUCAUUUUUUUUUUCAAUUUUUCUAUUAAUGCAUAUUGAAUAAUACUAACUGUUACGACAUUUAAAGUAUAUAUUGAUAUAAAAAGUAAUCCCAUUUUUUCUUUUAUACCAACUUCUAUAUAAUGAAACUUCUUGCCAUAAACAGAAUUUGCUUUGUUUUGAUAACGGAUUUUACUUUUUUUAUUUUAAGUCAUAUCUCUAUCUACCCGGAAUCAAGUUUGACCUCAUGGGAUUGAAGUAAAAAAAUUACAAACUUGCAAUAAUAAUACUUCAUAUUUUAGAAAUAAUACUCCCACUAUCAUUCAAUAAAAUAAAUAAUUAUUAUUAACAUUAAUUUAUAUAAAAGAAAUAAAAAUUUUAUAACGUACCAAAUUAAAUAAUAAAAAUACUAAUAAAAAUGUUUUUGAUUUUAAGGUUACUCUAUAACAUGUUUCAAGUAUCAAAUAAAUAUUUGUUUUAUAAAAUAUUAAAUAAUAAUUUUUAAAAGCUAUUUUCAAAUAUUGUUUUAAAAAAUAGUUACUAAAUAAGAUUUAAAUAUCUCAUUUAAAAAUGUGAUUUCCAAUUCCAAAAGUAUCAUAGUGGAAAUUCCUUACUUAACGUCAACGAAUAAGAAAGUAAAAUUAUAAAUAAAAAACAUUAUAUUUUCUAAACAUUUCAAAAUUUCCCAUUUUAUUAUUAAUACAGAUUGCAUUUGUAACAACUACAAUAAUAUCAAAUGAAGUAUAAGUGGUACUUGACAGAAAAAUUUAUUGUUAUGUAACACUAAGGAUCAUAAAGCAUAAAUAAACUUUUAAAACAAAAAUCCUUUUGAAUUAUAAAUAUUAGACAUAUGUGAUAAUAAUAAUUUUAUUUUCUAUUUUUUCAAAAAAAGAAAAGAAAAAUAAGGACAUAUGUGAUAAUUAUAAUUCUAUUUUCCAUUUUUUUUAAAAAGGAAAAUAAGAACUUUUUACUAAUUAAUUAUAAUAAUAAGUAGAUUUUUUUAAUGAUUUCUCAAUAUCCGUCUAUGAGUUGCAAUUACUUUUUAAUAAUUGCAUACGAGACUCUAAUUUUAUUAGUUUAGUAUACAUGAAUACGAGGGACAAACGAGUGUAAUUUCCCAUUUUAAUUUAUUUUUUUAAAAUCCUGAGGAUAAUUUUAUUUUUUUUUAAAUACAUUUUAAAUUUUUUUCUACUAAAAUUUGGGAAAGAGAAAAGUAAAAAUAUGUCAUGAACAUGAUUUAAAAAAAUUAAUUUAUAAUUUUUUAAUUAUAAAGACAAAAAUGCCAUCAAAAGCGACUAAAUUUAUAUUUAGUACACUUCUUUUAUUCAGACUGGAGAGCUUAAACACAGCCUUUCCAGUGGUCCAACAAUGAAGGCAGGUACGUAGUUAAGGGUGGGCGGUAUUCUCCCAACUGCCAUCGGACUGGUACACUACUUAACAAUACACGCUCCUCCUAGGUUGCUAUUAUCAACUAUUUCUGCCCAGCACAAAUCUUUAGCCAGUGGCAGUGAUGUCAUCGACUAGCAAGUUUGUUGUCGGAAACCAAGACGCUCAUUUUUUUAGGUCAAACUCCACAUAAUAAUCCACGUGCUGAUAAUUCCCCAGAAUAAUAGACGGUCCCGGAGUGAAUUCCAAGGUGCUGGUGCCUGCAUCAGUGACGACAGGGAAACAAGCCAAGCUUAUCUCAGGAAUAAACACAAAAUAAUUCUUUCCUGGCACCACCAUAUUUGCGCCACCUCUAAAUUGGUAAAUUAAGUCGGGGAUUUUUAUGGAUUUGUGGCCUGUGAAAUUAUAACAAGGUGUGAAACCGGACAGGGUUUCUAGCUCAAGAGAUCUCCUAUACUUGGACAUCUGCUUUUUCAACUCAUUUGUCACUAUCUUAAAAACCGGUCCUGUCAUGUAUCCGUACGCGAAACCAGAAUCUAUCAUGAGACCACCUCGGCCGUCAG